AAACUCAAUCCAAAUUGAGUUUCAAUUGUAAAAACUUAACUCAAUUUCAAUUCGAAUAAUAAAAAUGUUUAUCCAAAUCCAUCCAAGCAUCAGGUCCGACUCAAGUUGGGUAUCAAGUUGGGUUGGGUUAACACUUUGAAAUUGCACACCUAGCUAUGGAGCAAAGAAAACAAACCACAACAAAUAUUGAGAUAUAGGACAAAGGAAAAAAACAACUAGCAACAAAUUUGGAAGUUUAUCUAUCCCCAAAAUACUAAAAACCUCAAUAGCCACACCCAUUAGGGCAUUCCUCAUGAACAUUAACUUAUGGUUCUGAGUCCUCCACGACCUCAAGCUUGACAGGAGCAAUACCAGGCUCAUCAACAAUGGCGUCCAGGUCUCCAGUCUCCCCUUCCAAAUGAGCCAUCAGCAUGGCCACGACAAUCCCACCUACACACUCCAUCAUCGAUGUUUUAUCACCCUUCCCACUCUUGCACAUGGAACCCAUAAUCGCCCCAAUGGAUGUUCCAAUGCAAUUGGUGCAAUAAUCAUCAUCUAACAUGUCCAUGUGACCAUAAUCUGGAAUAACAAAGCCAAGGCAAUUAUCCUUGCACUCGUUGAAAAACUCCGCGUAGUUGAGCCCAUCAGGAGCACAAGAACAUGGUAUGCAGCCGAUGACAGACUCGCCCCCAAGACCCGUACCGAUUACCAUAACCGGGAUAUCCAGAUUGAAGGAAUGAGGGACACCAGUUAGGAUCUUUGGACACAUUUUCAUGCAUUUAUUUGCCCCAGCAACCGGGUCUAUACCUAUUAGGGUUAAGAACUUGAGAUUCAUGGAUACGUUGGCAUUCCCCAGUGCAAGAGCAAAUGCUAGAUAACCCCCUCUGCUAUGGCCCGCAAGGGCGAGCCUGCUUAGGUCUGGAACAACAUUUUCUGGGAGCACAGGUUGAAGGCCUGAGCUUAACCAGUUGGCGACUUCCGCUGCAGAGUUGAUAUCCGGUCGGCCGUACAAAGAACAUAGGCUGAGUAACUAGACAAACCAUCAACCAUUGCAUAAUAUUAGUUGAUUUUGAAAGAAUGUAAAAAUAAAAAUAAAAAAAAUAAGGGAAAAGGGAGUUGGACAGAUACCCUAGGAGCCACAACAAUAUAUCCAUGAGAAGAAAUAUGCUCAAGGAGGUUCGUAUAGCAGCAGGGGCAGAUGUUGUAGCCAUGAAGAAACAGGAGAACUGGGUAUGUUCCUUCAGUGUCUGGUGUUACAAUAAACAAUGUCUUUGGAGCGUUACAAGUUGUUAUGGGUUUCGCUGUGUACUUUCCUCGCUUAAAAGCAUCUGUUGCUGCCGCCGGUGCAGGCCUAGCUUCUAACGCUGCCAUUUCUCUCCCUCUCCCUCUCUCUCGGCAUGUUGAAACACACAGGCGGUCUUAUCCUAUAAUGGGUGGAGGAUCGGCGUUCACCCCCCACAUGGUGAUCCAGUGCCAUAUUUUUCUAUUCUAAAUAAUAAAAAAUAUGUUGAUCGAUAAUAAAGGGUUUUGUCAAAAAUAUACUGAUUCUAAAUACUUAAAAUAGUCAAAAAUAGAUUAUUCUUCAAACAAUAACAUAGAAAAUGUCAAAUUCAAAUGAGAAUUAUUUCAUCCCUUUUAACCAAUUAAUUCUAAUAAAAAAACACGUUUAAACUCCAAUCACCCGAUAUUUCCUUCAUACGCAGCCUUGCGACAUGAGUUUGAAGAAAUAUGCAAUAGAGCUUCAAACUAUAAGAAGUGUAAAACUUAGAACACGCAAAAUAUGUAGUGUUUGUGCUGCAUUCAAUCUGCAUAAUUAAUGGGAUUCAGCAAAACCCCAUUAGUUAUUCUUAUACCUUUAUCUCCAUCUCCAUUUAUAUUUUUUUGAGGUUUUAGCUCAAACUCUUAUGAUUUAACUAAUGUUUGGUUGGCAAAAAAUUUGAGGAAAAAUGUAAAAGAAAAAAAAUAAAGAUAAAAAGUAUUAAAAAAAAUUAAAAAAGUAGAUUUAAAGUCAUAAAUUUUUUUUUAAGUGUUACUUUAAACCCAUUUAACUUACUUUUCCACUUCUACAUGAAGAUAAAAUAAUUUUAAAGUGAAUAAAAUUUUAAUUAAUUUUAAAUAUAUUUUAAUUUAUUUCAUAUUUUUUCAUAAUAAAACUAAACAUAAAAAAAUUAUUUUCAUAGGUAUUUUUUUUCUUUGCUUUGUACUAUUAAGAACUAAACACACCCUCAAUGAACUUGGGGGAAUAUUCUUGGCUAAAAUGUCACCUUAAACUUUAUUUUUAAAAACAUAGCAUCUAUAUUUCAAUUAAAGAUUAAUCUUUGAAAUGGUCCCCACCCAAAAAAAAAAAAACUUUAUUUUUAAAAACAUAGCAUCUAUAUUUCAAUUAAAGAUUAACCUUUGAAAUGGUCCCCCCCACCCCCAAACAAAACUCAGGAAAGUGACCCAAGCCAAGAAUGACAAAUUUUAAUAAAGACAGUUUGGCUGCACUUUGCAAUGAGCUAGGACAGAGUAUUAUUGAUUUUCAUGCAACGAUUCCUAGUGAAAAAAUUAGAGGGGAAAAAAAAAGAUAGAUUUAAAGUGGUUCGAUAGAUUGCCUACGUCCACAGGAAUAGGAAAGAAGACUUUCACUAUAUCUGAAUUAGGGUUACAUAUAUAAAGGGGUAUUUAUACUAACUCUCAAGUAUUGAAAUUUCAAAAAUACUCUUGAACCGUACCAUGAGGGUAUUUGCCCAUUUUUCUCCAUAUGUUUUUCACUCAAUAUGAGUCACAUACUACAAGUAUCUUGGGUUUCAUCUUCAAUGGGUGUGUCCUUUUCUUUCUUUGAACAGAAAGAAUAACAAUAGGUAUAGACAAAAGAAUAUUGCAUGGACGAUAUGGAUCGAUCCUUUCAUAUUUGCAUUCUCUGAUUUCUCUUUCAAAUAUUUUUGCACCUAUAUAUUGGUUAAGCUUCAAGGGGACACAAAGGAUUUGGGUGUCAUUCUCAAAAGAAUUAACAUUUCUUGUCUCUCAUAAAAUUUGUGCUAAAUCCAAGUAAUCAUCUUGGAUUCAAAAAUAAUGGUUAGUUUCUAAGUGAUGUUAGACUCAUAAUGCGAUAAGGAAAGGUUUAGUAAGAGUAGGUUUAAAAGCUUCGAGGGGUUAGCACCUCCCAAUACAACCCUGAGAUGAGAUGAUAAAUAAGUUUGAUGGAUGUCUUACUUUUCAUGGAGCAAGUGUUUAAAUACAAAAAAAUACUCACACAAAUGACCACUAAAAUAGAAACAAACCGACUACGUAAAUGAAUGACCCAUAUCUCAUGCAACUCACUAGCAACUAAAGACUAGGACAAAUAGUUAAAAUGUAAUCAAUGCAUAUCUUCAUCUAUUUAAUUAAUAAAAUAAAAGUUAUAAAAAAAUACUUAAUACAUAUUCUUAAGCCAAAGAGCGGGUUGUCUUUUAUCAUAGACUAACUUACUCUUCGACCAUCCUAAAGCAUUUCGUCUUGAUCAUUUGACCAUCCAUCAAGUGAAACGGUUCCUCACUAAAGAAAACCAAAGUUCCACUCCAAUCAAGGAAAGAGAUAAAUCACAUCUUGGCCAAAUGUCAAUCCUCCUAGUUUGACUAUAUGAUGAAGUUACUUAAUAUAUAUAUAUUAUGUUUUUCAUCGAUUAUUAAUUUAUAUUUUUUUGGGGCCUUCAAAUAUUUUUGAAAAUAUUAUUAUUUUAUGUAUUUAGUGAGUUAUUAACUUAGUAUACUAGUCCAAGUUGGAAUCGAAAAAAUUCAUUAUUUAAAUGAAAUUAUUAAUUUAUGAAGGUUUUACUGUAAUGUUUCAAUCGUACAUAUAGGGAGCAAAGGUUUCACAUUGUUAUGGUUUAUUUGGUUGACUACAAAUAACUCAUCAAUAGAGAGAAUUACCCCCCUAAAGAAAAAUAGUUCUUAGUCUUUUACAAAUCUUUGCUUAUGUCAUUAAUUUGGUAAAUUCUCAUCUCAUCUAUAGAAAAUAUUGUUAAUAAAACAAGCUCAUAGUAUUAUAGCCAAUGAUGAAAAUAUCGGUAAUCACGGAUAUAUCGGUACUUCAAUUUUACGGAUAUAUCGGAGAUAUAUCGACGGAUAUUCUAGAAAAAAAUAUCGAUAGGCUUAAAAUUAUUAAAAACUCAUAGAAAUAUAAGGAAAACCUCAUAAUAAUAUAAUUAAAAGUAUAAUGAACAUUUUAAAGUUGUUUUAUUGAAAAAUUUGAUAUACAUAUGAUAUAAUUUACAAUAUUAUAUGUAAUUAUAUCACGUCGAUCUAUAAGAAAUGUUAAUUUUGUAAUUGUUCUCAUUAUAAAGUCACAUAAAAUACUUUAUUUCAUUAAAUAUCAAUAAUUUGUACACAUUAAAUUCAUUAAAUAAACAUAUUUCAUAUUCAAAAUAUACUAGUUCAUGUUAAUUAAAUUAAUUAAAUAAUUUAGCAUGUUAAUUAAAUUAAUUAAAUAAUUUAGCUAAGUUAACUAGUUUAAUUUAAUUCUAAAUGUGAAAAUAAAUCACAAAUAAUCAUCUAAAAUAAACAUAUCAAUUUAUAAUUAAAUAAUCAAAUUAACCUAAGUUAAUUAAAUAAAAAUAUAAAAAAAUAAUUACAAUUGAAUGUAAAAAUAGCAUUAAAUCAUCCAUAUUGCAAACAUACUAAUUAAUUGAAAAUACAUGAAUUAAUUACAAUUGCAAACAAAAUUAAUUACAAUUUAAAACAAAUAUACCUUAAAAUGAUUAAAUAAUUGAGCAACCUUAAUAAAAAUUGGAGUAAUGAAAGAGAAAAUGAAGAAAGAAAGCAAAAAAUGGAUGAAAUAGAUGAAAUUUGGGUUAUUUAUAGAAGAAAUUUGGGUCAAAAUAGCCGUUAGAACAUUAAUUUUCCGUUGAAAAUCAAUUUUGGCCGUUGGAUCAAAAAUUGGGAGCAAUUUGGCUGUUGGAUCGUCAUAUUACCAUUGGAAUCACAUUUAGGUAGUUGAAUCGCCAUAUUACCAUUGGAAUCACAUUUAGGCAGUCGGAUCAACACAGGCGUAAUCUGGGUCGUCAGAUCACGUUGCAUAAAGGAGGGGAAAUAUCGUCAAAAUAUCGGCGAUAUAUCGAAGAUAAAUCGCCGAUAUUUUGCCACCAGAGGCGAUUUUUUCAAAAAAUCUCCGAUAUAUCUCCCCGAGCCGAUAUAUCGCCGAUAUUUUGGGAAUAUUUGCAUAAAUAUCUCUCCUCCGAUUUUUCUCCACGAAAUAUCGUGUCGACCCCUCCCGAUACACGAUAUAUCGCCGAUAUAUCCUGACAUUUUCCUCCUUGAUUAUAGCAUAAGAUUGUACUUCUACAUGGUAGCAUACUAUUAUUGUCGACAAUUACACUUUAGUCCAUUAAUUUUGAAAAAUUAUACCAACACCCCAUGACCAGCCUGAUAAGAGCAAGACCACCCUUUUGACCAACUAUGACCAUUGACGUAUAUAUAGGUUGAUUGUUAAUUGCCUCCAUUGAAAAUUUAAUGAAAAUCCUUAAAAAACCCUCCAUUACCUUAUUUAAUAUAAAAUGCCUAAAAUACCCCUUAAACCUUAUAUUACAUACCUUACCAUCAAACUAAUAAAAUUUUAUUCCAAAAGAAUUGAAAUUAAAAUUUUGACAAAUAUAAUGAUUAAAUGAAGUUAAUAUUUGGACAAAUAUUAUGAACGUCUUCCUCGAUUCCUCUCCUAUAACAAAAGAAAAAGGAUGUUUGUAGUCAUCUAACUAGCAAACCUAUUUCCAACAUUACCCCACCAACGACAAUUUUCACCAACACACAACUUUAGUGUAUAAAUUUUGAUGGCCCAUAGCCUUAUAAGCUAGAGGAAUUAAUGAAUAAAGGAAAGCCCCAUAUGAAUGUUGACGACCAUUGUGCAUCUUCCCCAUCAACUCAUCAUCAAGUGAAUUUCAAAUGUCAAAGUUUAGUGCUCGGCAAAUUAGGUCCUACUUGAUAACCAUCUUUUAAAAUAGUUUCCUAUUUCUCCAAAAAAAAAUGAAAAAAAUAUAUUUAACAACCAAAAAAACAGGAAACAAUUUUUUUAUUUCUAAAAACAUAAAACAAUUUUCUAUUUCUAAAAUCAGAAAAUAUAAUAUUUUAAAAUAAUACAUUUUAAUUGUUUUAAGUUAUUUUUUCUUUUUUCUUUUUUUAAGAUUUUUUAAAAAUAAUUAUAUAAAUAUAAAGAAUAACUCAAAAUAAAGUAUUAUGGAUAAAACAUAUUUUUAAAAACAAAGAAAAUUAACAAGUUUAAAAUAUUUCAAGAUUUCAAAUAAAAUUUUGAUUUACAAAAUAUGAUAAAAUUAUUUUUCUAAACCGUUUCCAAAAAUACUCCUCAAACAUAGUCUUUCCACACGCCUUCAUAUGUUAUUUGCUCCCAAAGGUAUAUAUACCAAGUACUAGAAUAAUGCAAAUUCCAAUUAAUCAAUGGUGCUUUAGCUGAGUUGGAUGGCAGUGUACUGCCAAGUGAAACCUCCAAAAGUAUUGAUCACAGUACUGAAAGCCAAGAAUCAUUGUACUGCAUUUUUAUUAUCAAUUAAGCAUUGCCAUGUAAGAGAAAAAACAAACAUAAUAAUUGGAAACAAUUAAUGAUCAUCUAUUAAGACCCCAUCAAAAAUGACCCUGGUCUCGAUGUUCUUAUAAUAUGGAACACCUCAUCCCCCAUUCUUAGUCUAACACAAAUGAUGGGUCUUGAGAAUAUUAGAGGUCAUUAGCAAUACAACACAGUUUCGUUUAUUUGAAUCUUUGUUCCCAAAGACGAACCGAAAAAAAAAAAAAAAAAAUCUGCUGUCACACUCCUUAUAGCAUUACAAAGAAUCCAUGAUUUCAUGCUUCUAUGAACUCAACAGGAUCAAGCUUCACAGGAGCCAGAUCAGGUUCGUCAACAAUGGCUUUGAAAUCUCCACUCUGACCUUCCAAAUAAGCCUUCAAGAAUGCAACAAAAAGGCCACCCACACAUCUCCUCAUGGGGUCCCUAGGACCCUUCCCACUCUUGCAGAUAUAACCCGAAAUCGCCCCAAUGCAGCCUGAAAGAUGAUCAUCUAACAUGUCCAAGUGACCAUAUUCAGUAGUCACAAAGUGGGAACAAGGAGGUUUACACUCACUGAAAAACUCUACAUGGUUCACUCCAUCUGGGGCACAUGGACAUGUUAGGCAGUUCCUUGGCUCAUCGCCCAACCCCGUGCCGAUUACGCAAACUGGGAUUGCUAGAUUGAAGGAAUGAGGAACAUAGGUUAGGAUUUUGGGAACUGUUUGGCAACAUUUACUCAACCCACCAACAGGGUCUAGUCCUAGUAGGGCUGAGAAGUUGAGGGAUGUAUCAGCAUACCCUAGUGCCAGAGCAAAUGCUGUCUUUCCCCCUCUGCUGUGGCCUGAAAGAGCAAGCUUGAGUAGGUCUGGUUUCACAUUUUCUGGGAGCACAGAUUGAAGGCCUGAGGAUAGCCAAUUUGUGACUGCUGCUGCUGAUUUGAUCUCUUGAAUUCCAGAAGGAGGUAAUAGUCCGUAUAACUAUAUAGAAAACCAUUUCACAGUACUGCAUGUCAGAGAUUGGAGAUUAAUAGAAAAUGUGUUUGUGCAUGCGGUUAUUAAUUGAAAGUUCUCCCAAAAGCCUUGCAAUCUUUCGGAUGAACUUGAUUAAAAAUAUUAAAUCAAGUUCGGGUUGGGUUCAAUUUCCUAAACUUUGGUCCAGAAUAGUUCAAAUUGAGUUCAAGAUUGAAAAACCCUAAUAUAAGAUCAACCUAGAUGUCAAAAUGAUUACCAAAGCUCAUCUAAACAUUGGGUUAGGUUGGAUUUCUUUCGGGUCAACCUGUUAAACAGGUUGCACCUCUAUUAUUAUGUCAAUAUAUAAAUAUAUUGAACUAAUUUGGAUUGCAAUACUUCAAUUACAAAGAUCAUUACCUUUAAUUUUAUAAUUAUAUAUGGAGAUGACAAUAUGACAGGUUUUUUUUAGUACCAAUCUCACCACCCCCUUAGUGGAACAUGUUUAAAAUUUAAAUAAAUGGAUUUGAGAUAGAUUUAGAAUUUUUUUAAAACCCGAGACAAGCUCAAAAUGGAUUUAGGUAUUGUCUAAUCUUAUCUCGUUCCAUCACAUUCAAAAUAAAAUAAGUUAUAAAAAAUUAUAUUAUUUUUAUUAUUUAUAAAAUAUAUUUAUUUUAAUAUAAUUAAAAUAAAUAAUUUUUUUCAAAAAAAAGUUAAAUAGUUGGGCAAGGCGAGUAUGGUAAAUUCGUAUGUACACCCUACCCGUUUAACUUUUUUAAUAGGAUGGAGAUGGAAACUAUUUUGGAUAAACAUAACUCAGCCUGAACCUGAAACCAUCCUCUUAUAAUCUCCAACUAUAUAUUAAGUACAAUUAAAUGGGAAACGAGUAGAAGAAGAAAAAGAAAAAUAGGGGGAGUAGGAUAGUUAACAGGGAAGAGAGGUUGAGAAAGCACCUGAGGAGCCACCACUAUGAAUCCAUGGGAAGAAAUGAGUUGAAGGAGCUGAGUGUAGAAAGUGUUGCGGAGCUCGAAGCCAUGAAGAAACAAGAGAACUGGGUAUGUCCCUUGAAUGGUUGGUGUAACAAUCAACAAUGGCUUGGGAGGGGAAGCGAUGUUUGAAGUCUCCACUCGAAUGCAACUCACGCUCAAAUUUCCUGGCUCAAAAACACUGGUUGUUGUCUUCAAAUCAAGCUUGAUUCCCUGCGUUGAAGGAUUACCUCCUAAUAGUGCCAUUGCCCCCUUUUAGAGUGUGUGGAAAUCAAGGUAUAGAUCUCUCAUUUUAUAAUUGGAGAGAAUGAUGAAUUGCAGCCAUUGGGCAGCUAUGCAGCUGGGCCCUAGAGGAAGAGUCCCCGACUCCAAAUAAUUGUAGCAGCCUUCUAGUCAAUCAAUACUAGUCAAGUAACCAACUAACAAAAAGAUAUUUCAAACAAAUUUCAUUUAACUAUUAGACUUAAAACUUAAAUAAUUCAAAAAUACAUAAAUUUUUAACUAAUUUUAAUUAUAUUUUAUUUUAUUUCAUAUUUUUUAUAAUACAAUUAAAUAUAAGAAAUUCAUUUUUCUUAAUUUUUUUUUUUUAGUAUUUUAAGGUCUGGUAAAAAAAAUUUAAAGGCUAACUAAAAUAAUUUUAAAAACUAUUUUUAAAUUUUCAAAUAGGGGUUUGUUUUAUAAAAUAUAAAAAAAAAAACAAUUACGACAACAAAACCUAAUAGGAUACAACCCCACUUGCUUUUCUCACGAUUUUAGCAAGACGAAGAAAACAAAAUGAUCAGUGGUUGAAUCUUUGUCCGUACAUGGCUGCUUUAUCAUCAGCCGCCCUAUGGUUUGUAGUGAUAAAUUGAUAACAUGCGGUUUGUGUACACGGCUUUAGCAAGAAAAAGGAGGAAAAUUCCACGUGGAAGCUCAUUUUUAGCCAGAAAGUCAAGCGACGAGGUUGCCUCCAUUAAUUGUCGCCCUCGCGUUUGGUAUUUCAAGAUUAGGUACGGAUGAUCUUAUCCAACGAUUCCAACCCUCCUCCCUUUAUUUAAAAUAAUUUUUAUUCAUAUUUAAUCGAAAAAAUUAAAUAGUACCCAUCCUUUAACUUUUUUCUGAAAAUUUUUUAAAUUUUUUCAAAAAAAUUUAUUUUUAAAAUUUUUUAAUUACAUUAAAAUAAUUAAAAUAUUAUAAAUUUUUAUUAUUUUUUUAUUGAAAAGCACUUAUUAUUAUUAUUAUUAUUAUAUUAUAUUAAAAAUAAGAAAAUACAAAUUAAAUUAAAUUAAUUUUUAAAAUCAAUUAUUUGUCAUCCCUGUUAAGCUCAAUAUGGAGUUGAUGAGUGUACUUAAUUGUAUACCAUAUUGUGGACCCCGUAUUUCGAUUCAUGCAUUUCCCACUCGAUGGCGAGGUCGAUUUUUUGUUCAUGAGCUAAUCUCACAAAUCCCGUGUUUUUGAAUUACGAAUGAAUCACUAUUGCUUAUGUAAAAUCAAGAAGAUAAGAAGAUUAUUUAGGAACUGAAAUGUGAUUAAAAACUAUUCGAGUGAAAACUGGAUUAUCGGAGCUUAUUUGAAAAUUGGAGUAUUUGGAAUUAAAUUUUGAAGAUUAGAGCUCCGGUGAUUAAAUCGAAAUUUGUUAAAGAAAAUGAGAAACGGACUUUAGGAAAUUGAACUGCGAGACCAUAGACUUUUGAAAGUUGAAUUUAUAAUAAUGAUAGUAAUAAGGUCUUGAGAGUUUGAAUUAAUAAUAAUAAUAAUAAUAAGAUUUCGAAAGACUGAAUUAAUGAUAAUAAUAAUAAUAAUAAUAUUUUGAAAGUGUGAAUUAAUAAUAAUAAUAAUAAGAUUUUGAGGAUCGAAUUAAUAAUAAUAAUAAUAAUAGUAAUAAUAAUAAUAAGAUUUUAAAAGUUGAAUUAAUGAUAAUAAUAAUAAUAACAUUUUGAGAGUUGGGUUAAUAAUAAUAAUAGUAGAAUUUUGAAAGUUGAAUUAAUAAUAAUGAUAAUAAAAAGAUUUUGAAAGUGUGAAUUAAUAAUAAUAAUAAUGAGAUUUUGAGAGUUUAGAUUAAUGAUAAUAAUAAUAAUAAUAAUAAAUAGAUGUUGAAAGUGUGAAAUAAUAAUAAUGAUAAUAAUGAGAUUUUGAAAGUUGGGUUAAUCAUAAUAAUAGUAAUGAGAUUUUUGAAAGUUGGGUUAAUAAUAAUAAUAAUAGGACUUUGAAAGUUUGGAUUAAUGAUAAUAAUAAUAAUAAUAAAUAGAUGUUGAAAGUGUGAAUUAAUAAUAAUGAUAAUAAUGAGAUUUUGAAAGUGUGAAUUAAUAAUAAUAAUAAUGAGAUUUUGAGAGUUUAGAUUAAUGAUAAUAAUAAUAAUAAUAAUAAAUAGAUGUUGAAAGUGUGAAAUAAUAAUAAUGAUAAUAAUGAGAUUUUGAAAGUUGGGUUAAUCAUAAUAAUAGUAAUGAGAUUUUUGAAAGUUGGGUUAAUAAUAAUAAUAAUAGGACUUUGAAAGUUUGGAUUAAUGAUAAUAAUAAUAAUAAUAAAUAGAUGUUGAAAGUGUGAAUUAAUAAUAAUGAUAAUAAUGAGAUUUUGAAAGUUGGGUUAAUAAUAAUAAUAGUAAUGAGAUUUUUGAAAGUUGGGUUAAUAAUAAUAAUAAUAGGACUUUGAGAGUUUGGAUUAAUGAUAAUAAUAAUAAUAAUAAAUAGAUUUCGAAAGUUGAGGUAAUAAUAAUAAUAAUAAUGAGAUUUUUGAAAGUUUGGAUUAAUGAUGAUAAUAAUAAUAAUAAAUAGAUGUUGAUAGUGUGAAUUAAUAAUAAUGAUAAUAAUGAGAUUUUAGAAGUUGGGUUAGUAAUAAUAAUAGUAAUGAGAUUUUUGAAAGUUGGGUUAGUAAUAAUAAUAAUAGGAUUUUGAAAGUUUGGAUUAAUGAUAAUAAUAAUAAUAAUAAAUAGAUUUUGAAAGUUGAGGUAAUAAUAAUAAUAAUAAUGAGAUUUUUGAAAGUUUGGAUUAAUGAUGAUAAUAAUAAUAAUAAAUAGAUGUUGAAAGUGUGAAUUAAUAAUAAUGAUAAUAAUGAGAUUUUGAAAGUUGGGUUAGUAAUAAUAAUAGUAAUGAGAUUUUUGAAAGUUGGGUUAGUAAUAAUAAUAAUAGGAUUUUGAAAGUUUGGAUUAAUGAUAAUAAUAAUAAUAAUAAAUAGAUGUUGAAAGUGUGAAUUAAUAAUAAUGAUAAUAAUGAGAUUUUGAAAGUUUGGAUUAAUAAUAAUAAUAAUAAUGAUAAGAAUAAUAAUAAUGACAAGAAUGAUGAUAAUAACAAUAGUAAUAAUAGUAACAAUGAUAAUAAUAAUUAAUAAUAAUAAUAACAACAAUGAUAAUAAUAAUUAAUAAUAAUAAUAAUAAUAGUAACAAUAAUAAUAACAAUAAUAAUAAUAACAAUGAUAAUAAUAAACAACAAUAAUAAUAACAAUGAUAAUAAUAAACAAUAAUAAUAAUAAUAAUAAUAAUAACAGUAAUAAUGAUAAUAAUUAAUAAUAAUAAUAAUAAAUGAUAAUAUGCAUCCAUCAAGCCCAUAAGCCUAAACCCACUAAUAAGCCCCAUCUUCGUCAAACCCAAGUUCACCAAGUCCAUCAGCAACCUUAAUAAAGCCCAAACCUAAUCAAGCCCAAGUUCAUCAGCAACCCUCAAGCCCAAACCUAGUUAAGCCCAAAAAAACAAAACUUCAUCUUCUCCACAGCUCCUCCCGCCUGGAAAUCACCCUCCGAGGGAGCUCCUACCGCCGGCGGCACCAAGAGACGUUGCCGCCGUCGCCGACGACUGGCACGGCUGUCCACCUGGCCGGAGCGGGUCAAAACGCACCAUGCCUGCGUCAGAGAAGGAGCUGCUAGCGGUCCGAGGGUGUGAUUGCUGCCAGCUUGGUCGAUGGAGGGAGAAAUAGCGGCGACGGUCCGGCGACGUCUAGAAGACGCUACCGCUGUCGCUGAUGACCGGCGCAGCUGUCCACGCGGUCGGAGCAAUGGUAAAUUUGAGAUAAUAAGGUAAAACAGCUUUUCUUUAUCAAGGAAACCUAUUAAGGAUGAUGAAUAUGUUCCUCGUAUAAAUAUGUAUAUAGACACACACUUGGGAACCAUUUAUCACAAAGAAGUCUACUAUAUUUUACUUGAUAGUUUGAUCUGAUAAAUAUUUUGGACCACUUAGCCAUACAUCUUCUUGACUUGUGCAGUAACUUGAAGCUAAUUGAAUAUUUGAGUCUCCUUCAACAUAUCACAUACCUGGUACUUUAAUUAUCUUCCAGAAACUCAUACAAGUUCCAUAGUUGUCUGGAUACCAGGGUUUCUUGUCAUCAGAAGUUCUGUUGAAAUGAUUGUAGCCCUCAUUUUUCUCCAGCUUCUCGACAAUUAGACCUUUCAAAUUAAAUAACAACGUGACUAAACGUUUCAGCACAUUAAAGUUAAUACAAAUGCAAGAUUAGCACCAUUCUUAAUUUGUGGCAGCAGAAUCCUCCGUUUGGAUUAAAACAGAUUCUGACCAGCCACCAUUCAGCCCUCAUUAUCUUAACUUGGGAUGUCUUACAUUGAUAAAUGAUAUUGCUGAUCCAGCUGAGGUGAGUACCACUUUUGAAUGCACUGGGCUUACCAGCCAGGAGAUGCAGUGGAGUAAACCCUUCCUCAUCAACAGAACUAACAAAAUCUUCAUACAGAUAUAUUAUUUGGAAUGCUAAAUCUGUCAAGAACGACCACAAAAGAAUCAAAAUGCAUAUAAAUCAUGGAGCAAGUAAAAAUAUAAGACAUAGUAGCUGAAGCAAUGAUUUUAAUGAAAUAAGCCAUUUAUUAUGUGCUAAUGAACAUGUGCACAUGCAUAUGUGAAUGCAUCCCUCUAAUGCAGACCAAAACUUCCUGAAAAAAGCUUACCUAAGAAUUCUCCAAAUAUGGCACAGUGAAGAAUAGUUUUGCCAUCGGCCCUUCGACUGUACUCAUACUGUUUGGUCCUGUCACAUAUUUUGUGAAGGCAGAGGAAAGCAUCUUUCCUACCAUGAAGGACAGCUGAGAAGACGGGCGUUUCAUUUUCAUGGUUGCGGACACCAACCAGUUUCGGAUGCUUACCAGCCAAACACUUGCAUAUGGGAACAUUUCCCAUUGAUGCAGCUAAAUGGAGAGGGGUGUUCCCUUGCUCAUUUCUCAUCUCCAGAGCAUCCAGAUCUGUUUCUCUGAUCAACUCAACUAGUUCCUCAACUAUACUUUCUUUGCCUUCUGAAACCGCAACAUGCAAUGCAGUGUCUCCAGAUACAACGAUCUCAGCCUUGUGAGCCCUUGGCUGUUGCCUGCAUAUGUUGACAACUUCAUUCCAUUUGCCUUGCAUGGCAUAAUUGAACAAGUUUUUCUUAAUGGUAUGCAGAUCUGCAUCCUCAAUUGUAAAUUCCAUAGUGCUCUUGGAACAACUACUAGAUAGUACUCCUAUUGGGAUGGUUAGAUAUAUAUGGGGAACCAGAAGAUUCUCUGAGAGGUUUAAGCGUAUGGCCUAAUAAAGCUCCAUACCUUGCUCCAGAUUUGGGAUAAGAACAAGCAUGUACCCCAGAGAAGAUAGACACAAUAAGAAAGCAUUAGAACUCAUGUAAAUGUUGGAUGCCUCUAGUCAACUUUUGUGUUACUUGCAUUACAAAGUAGUUAACAUUUGAAUUCUUUCUUUCGUGUUAGAGAAUUAUUUAAUGAAUUCUCCUCUAGAUUUUUCUUAAUUCUAUACUUGUGGGCAAACUAUUCUAUGCUAAAUAUUGUAAAAGGGCUUUGAUAUCACCCUUAUGAGAAAGUCACUUAUUUUAACUAAUUUUAUUUGAUUAAUUUUCUGGAGUCAAAAGGGAGAUCAGUUUUGUCAUGUAGAAUACAAGCAGAAGAAAAAAGACAAAAGUAAAAGGCAAAUGCACAAACAAGCAAAAAAAGAAUAUGACUUAUUGUCGAAGAUUCUGAAACACACCUACCUCUCAGUAAGCAUGAUUUUCAGUCCUCUUUGAACAAUCUGUCUUUAUGUUUGUGCUACAACAAAAUUCUAGUUAGUUUAUUUUCUUCUUUAGAAAUCCAGAUGAAAAUUUGAACUACCUGACUUAAUAUUAUGUGUAUUAUCAACAAAUUUGAGAAGAUAAUUUUUUUCCCCAAAAUAAAAUGGCCUUGCUUGCAUGUUGAAAGCAACUGAUUUUCCUUUUAUUUGCGAGUGUGAACUUAUAUAACACGAGUUAUUUCUUUGGUUCUUCUAACAAUAUCAGAAAUCUGAUAAAUAUUUGAAUUCAAGGAUUUAAUUUGAUUAAUAUUAUUUUUUAUCAUUUUUUUUUUAGUAACAAGAAAAGGAAAAAAACUAAGGUUAAUUUGAUGCUAUGUUGUGUGAGAAAAGAAAAAGAAGAGAAAAAGAAAGAAAAGUCUUGUGCUUCACAAUAAAUUUGGUCUUGCACAGCAAAAGCAAGCAUAUUUAAAGUGCCAUGUAAUAAAUGGUUUCUCUGCAAGGAAAAGGAGUGAGAGAAGCAAAAGAGAUUAUGUCUGACCAUUUAUAUAUAUAUAUAUAUAUGUUCAUGUGCUCAAAAAAAAAAAAAAUUAAAUAGAAAUUCAUUAUUCAAAACCAGACUCCAUCACCAUGAUUUAAACAAAAUAAUCACCCAAACUAAAUUGAUAUAAGAUGAUCAAAGUAUAUCGGAAUUGUGUGCAUGAUGCCGUUUUGCAUAUUUUGAGCUCAUACUGUUUUUGGAUGUGGACAAAAAUAAAAAUAGGAGCAUCCAAAUUUACUAGUUACUGUUAACUAGUAAGUUAAUGUAUUAAGCCUACAUUGACACAUGCAAUUCUUGCAUUACUAGCUAGUUCAGGGUUGUAAAUGUUGUAUGAUUAUUUAAGACUUCAUGGUCUUAGCCUUGAUCAUCCGAAUGUUUGCAAUAAGAUGACUUGACCAUUCCACAACACACCACCCUUUCCUGGGCUUCAACAGGGACUUAAGACACACCCAUCAGGGCUUAUUCCUAAGCCACCAAUUGUCAUAGUGGUAUUAUUGAAUACCUAAUGGAAUUGAUAGAUCAAUAAAAUCUAUCAGAAUUUUUGCAAUGAAUAAUUGUUUUACUAACAAGACAAAGGCAUGAGAUCCAGGCUAGAGAGUUUAUAAGCAAGAUAACCAAUUAACACAAGCCCCAAAAGGAGGGGAGAAAAACAACUGCAAUUAUUUACAUUUCAACCACUAACCAUAGAUAGUACGCUGUGGCACUUUCUUAAAGAUGGCCCAUAUGAGAUCAAAGUAGAAGGGAAACUGUGCCACCGCAAAAAAUGUUACUGGGAGGCACGCCACUGCAUACACGGGGAAUGCAGUUUGUUUCAGUACAUUUUUUAGUAGGAAAAAGUGCCCUGCACAGAAGCAAACCAACAUAGCUCCUAUGGAUAUAAAGAGAGAUGUUAAACCUAGCAAUAGCUUUCGCGGCAACCCUCUACCAAAAUCUUUCACUUGGUAUCUAGAUGUUAGAAUUGCCAGAAAAGUGACCACAGAGGUGACUGAAAAGGAUAGAGCAAUGAGGGAUGAAAUUGCAUAGACCAGAAAUCCCGGAUGGUGUUCAAGGGUAGGUUCGCUGCUAUUUUCCUUGAAGCCUCCUGGUAUAGUGGCUGUUGUGGCGAAGGCUACGGUUGUAACAAGUGUUGCUACUACUGAACAUGAAUUUGAGGUGUUGCUUAGCCAUUUGCCUCCUUCUCUUACAAGUUCUUUGUGUGAUUCUGUGAAGAUCUCCUUGGGGACCUGGUUCUUGUUGUUGUAGCGAAUGAAGAAAUGUCUUGGUACAGAAUUCUUCACGUACUGCGCUAUUAAACCCAUGUAUCAGGGCUAAUAUAUAAUAGUCUGCUUACCAAGUUAGAACUUUACGAUAUGCUUUCCAAAGAAUAAUGCUAAUUCAUAGAAAAUUAACAACCCCAUAUAGAGAUGUUCAUGAUUUUGUACAGUCGAGAAAGAAUUUUCCAUGAGGAGAACUAAUUCAAUUGUUGAUGCAUUAUCUUCUGAAAAAAAAAAAAAAACAACCAAAAAUACAUAAAUAAGUCUGGGUGGCAUACCUUAUACCAUUUGAUCUCCCAUUGCAUUUGCAAAGCUGCAAAGGGAUAUGGCCUAUAAUCUCCUAAAGUUGCUGCAAGAUGUAAUGCACUGUUCCCCUCACUAUCAACCAUACGAAAUGCACUUUCUUCCAGAGGUUUCCGAUUGAGUAAUAGCUCAUAAACACUGGUUUGUCUAUUCUUCACUGCCAACAGCACUAUAUUCUUCUGGUCUGAAUCUACAUGGCGAAUGGCUGCUGGAAAAAGUUUAAGGAUCUUCUCCACCAUUUCUAUGAUGCCAUUCUCUGCUGCAAUUAAUACUGGUGACUUCCUUUUUCCCAUCCCCCAAGUUCUCUUCAAUGCUGACAAGAUUCAAUAUCUCAAGGUUCAAUUCUUGAGCCAAAGUGGCCAAUGUUCUGCUGUUACAAUAAGUAUCUUUGUUUUUCUACUUCAAAUAUAUCUUCCUCUUCGUCAGUGAUACUGAAAGUAAAAGUUGGUAUUUUCUUUUUUUGGACGUCUGUGCAUUAGUAACUUGCUAAAUAUAUUGAUUACAUCACAAAUAUAUGAUAAUAGGUUUUUCAGUUCAAUCCACCAAUUGCAGGGGCAGUAGGUGAUUUAAGCAAGGGAAGUUAAGCUGUAUCUUUCAUAAUUAUAUACCUUAUAUAGAUAGUACAUAUGCUGCUAACUGCAUAUACAUUUGGCUUUAUUAAGUUAUAAUUUGGACUUUCAUAGUAGGCAAUGUGAGAAAAUUACCUUCUUCCUUCUGUUUAAUUUCUGAAGAAUGAUGUGCAGAAGCCUUCGGCCUUGGCUCUUCCUCAGACUCACUAUCAUCAAGGCUUGCUUCUCCAUAAUAUGCCAAGAGUGAUGUUUCCUGAUCAAAAACUUUUUUAUAACGUUUUCCUGGUACCAUCCAAUGUGAUGUUGGGUCAAUUUGAUCAUAAGGUACUGUUUCUCCAGAUCUCGGUUGUGAGAGCUGGGGAAUACUUCCACUAUCAUAUUCGAAAGGUUCAACAUAUUUAAGCAUUCAUCCAUGAUUUGAACAGACCAUGUGUGCUUUUCUUUCUUCUCUUUUAUCUUAUUUAUAUGUCUUGAUCCUGUCCACCACAAUCAAACACAACAUACAUUGAACCAAUAUUAGCACUUUGGAUAUGAACAGAAUAUGUGUAUAUCAUUCUAGUGUCUAAAUAUAUAUAUAUGGUGAUCAUACCAACUAUAACAGCCGGCAAUGUCCAUGCUUUAGCUACAAGCUUGAUGAAGUUCUCAUAGCAAAUGCCAUAAUAAUUUGGAUGAGGCCGCUCUUGUCUUCGAGCGUUAUGGCUUGAUUGUUUACCUGUAAAUUAAAAAGAGGUUUGGAGUAUUCUCUAGUUUAUUUUCAGAGCAAUACUCUUACACUAGUAUUCAUUUGGGAUCUACGUAGCACACAAAUUGAGAACCCAAAAAAUAAAUAAGUAAAUAAAGGUUCUCAAAAGAAAACAUUUAUGGACUAAUUAAACUUGGUUGAUUAGGGAUACAAGCAAGAAAUUUAUUGGAAGAUAUAUCUCAAGCUCAAUAAAUUAAUGAUUUAAUUUGUACUCAAUAAAUUAAUGGUUCUAAAAAAAAGUGCUCAAUCAAUUAAACCAGAUUGUCUAAAAUUGAACUUUUCAUCCUAAUUUGCUCUUGAGCUGAAUUCAAGAAGGUUCUGGAUUUACUUAUUAGCCCAAUGCAAAUUCAUGAGUAACUAUCUGGUCAAAGUCUCAUAUGCAUAACUAAAAUGAUGAAUUAAUAUGGGAAUCACUUAACCCACCUGAUGCUUUGAUCAUGUUCCAUAAGUUGGUUAAUAUAUAGAAAUUCUCUGUAUGGUUAGGGUUCUCGUCAGCUUCAUAUUUCUGUGGAAGGAGCUUUUUGACAGGCACACCUUGCAAAAUAACAUUGCAAUGAAACAUUUUCACAUAGUAAACUAAUACAUGAUUGCCCCAAAAUUAUCCUACAAAAACCUUCAUUGAAAAAUAGAUAUGGGAUUCUCAAUCGCUUCAAGGCAAGUGAUUUAUGGAUGUGCUUCUCUCACGCACACCCUAGGCUAGAUUUGUGAAUAAAAACUGUUAUUAUAAUAUAGUUUAGAUUAUUAUAUAAAUUACAGGUACAUAAUGACUUAGGAUAAUGGGGUAGAUGACUUUAAACAACAAAUAUCAAACAUAGAGCAUGAAGGUAGAUCUGCAUCAGGCAUUGAUCGGCUGGCUGUCGUCACUGGCCCUGAAAAUUAGAUAUCAAAACCUGUGGGCAGACCUAGGUUCCAAUUCAGCGACUCCUAUGUCACAACUUUACAAGUUUAUUGGAAAUCCUUUAGUCAGUGGAAGGAUACUUACAAAGAUAAAUGAUUUCAUCGAACCAAUUCAGUCGAGUUCCGCUUCUGAAUAAAGUAGCCUUAGAAGCAAGGAGGUGGAGAGGGGAGAUUCCUCUCUCAUCGACAUAAUUGACGAGGUCAGGAUACUCAUGAAUAAUUGUAAAUGCCAAAUCUAUCAUGCACAACAUUGAAAAUGUUAUAUAAAUAAAAGCAUGAGCCUUUAUAUAUAUAUAUCAAUUGGUCAAUUCUGCUGAGAUGAUAACAUUAUAACAAAUGUAUAGAACACAAAUGAAAAUAUGUUACCCUAAGUUAUAAGGCAUGAAGCAAAUAAAUUAUCUAUUCCUAUAGAUGUUCAGAUGAAUAAAUAGAAAACAAUAAAUGGGGCCUGAAAGCAUUGCUCACCGAAGUAUUCUCCGGUGAUGGCACAGUGAAGACUAUUUUCUCCAUCACUCCUCCGAAGGUACUCAUGCACUUUGUUGUUAGCAGUACUGCUACAUAUGUUAGAGAGGCAAAGGAAAGCGUCUUUCAUGCCAUGGAGAGCUGCUAAGAAGAGAGGGGUCUCAUUUUCAUUGUUGCGAACACCCACCAGUUCUGGAUACUCAGCAGCUAUGCACUUGCACAUGCGAACGUUGCCUACUGACGCCGCCAAAUGGAGAGGGGUGUUCCCCCGAUCAUUUUUUAUAUUAAUCAGAUACACGUUGCGAUGGGCCAUCAGUUGGACUAGUUUUACCACUACAUCUUCUCUGCCAUCUGAUACUGCUAUAUGCAAUGCCGUGUCCCCUGAUGUAGCGGUCUUCUCAUCAUGAGCCCACGGAUCUUCCUUGCAUAUAUCUACAACUUUUUCCCAUUUCCCUUGCAUGGCAUAUGAAAUCAAGCUUGGUCCAGUGGCCCCUUGUUCUGUGUCCACGACAAAUGCCAUUCUUCCUCUUCUUAGAACAACUACUACUGUUCUAUUGCUGAAGGUACCAAGGAUGAUUAUUGUAUAUGUAGAGCAAACAAGCUGUCCCAACUGUGGCAAGCCACCAUAAACUGAAAGUGAUACCUUGCUCUGGAUUCGGGAUGAGCACAAUUUUAUGGACCCCAAAAAGAGAACAUCCAUGUUUCAUUAUCCUCUUAACUAUCAUAUUUUAAAAUUUUAUUUAGAAAAUUUGGAAAAAUAAAAAUGGGAUAUUUAAAACGCAUCAAAUUACUUUUUAAAUGUGAAUGACUCAUUCAAUUAUAAUACUGAUGAAUAAAGUAAAGCUAAACUCUUGCACAGAAGGACAUUCUUUUCAAUGAAUUCAAGGAAAGAAUAAUUGUGGAAUAAAGUAAAAUCUAGUGAGAGGAUCUCUAUCUGGCAACAAAAACUCAAGGAAAGUAUCAUCUUGAGGAAAUUAAAAUAAAGAAAAGAAUAAAUAAUGAGUAAAAUAAGAGAAAAAUUAUUUUGAGAUUAAUUAAAAUUUUGAAAAAUGAAAGAGAUGUGUUGUUGCAUAUAAACAUUUCAACAAUUGAAAACCAAUAAGCCACGAUGGCUGAAAUAAGGCUACAUAAAAUCAUGCAAAAAGAUGAUGGUUUUCAAUAAACCAACUCAAGGGAGCACUGUAUCUAUCUAGGAAUGAAGUUAAAUCUGUGCUAAUAGAGAUUUUUCUCAACAAGCGCAAGAAAAGCAUAAGGAAAAACUCAAAACACAUAUAUUCAUACCUAAAUAAAUAAAUAAAUAAAUCCCUGAUCUUCCUUUUCCCUGGGGCAUCUUGCUUUUUGUAAGCAAGGCUUAUAAUGGCUCAAUUCAAUUGUAACCACAAAUUCAAUAGUCCAUCAUAUCAUUUAAUCACAUAACAUUUAAUAUAGAAGAAGACACUUGUACAUAAACUUAAUAUCAAUAAAAUCUCUUCUCACCAUCACUAAGAAGAAACCACCCGCUAAAACAUGGAAUCCACAAGCCCAAAACAACGAAGUCAAAUCUAUGUAAGGCAAAACAUUAGAGAGGAGCCACCUUGUAGCUUCGCUGUGGCACCUUCUUAAAAGUGGCCCACAUAAGAUCGAAGUACAGAGGAAACUGUGCCACGGCAAAGAAGAUUACUGGAAGGCAGGUUACUGCAUAUACAAGAAUGGCAGUGUAUUGCAGUUUAUCCAUAAGGACAAAGUAAUGUCCGGCACAGAAAGAGAUUAGCAUCGAAGCUAUGGACACAAAGAGCGAUGUCAAGCCUACUAGAAGUUUCCUUGGCAAGUAGAUGCGAAAAUCUCUCUCUUGGUAUCGAGAGGUUAGAAUGGCAAGAAACAUGAUCACAGCAUUGACUGAGAAACAAAGCGCGACAAGAGAAGAUAUGGCAAAAAUGUCAAAUGCCGGCUCGUCUUCUAGCGUUGGUGUUCCAACUUUUUCUUUCACCCCACCUGGCACAGUGGAAGACGUUGCAAAGGCCACGGUUGCAAUGAGGGCUGCCACCACGGAGCAUGACUCAGAGGUUUUGAAUAGCCAUUCACCACCAGCUUGGACAAGAUCCAUGUGUUUCUCGGUGAAGAUAUCCUUUGCAGUCUCACCCUUCUGGUUGCAGCGUACAAAGAAAUGUUGUGGCACGGACCUCUUAACAAACUGCAUAGUUCAAAGUUCAAAUUAACAAGGAAAAGGAAGAGUUCUUCAUAAGUUUCUCCAUCCGUUUUCUUUUUUUCUAUAUAGCAAUAUAUCAUAUAAUUUUACAAAAUUAAAAACAUUUACGCAUUUUGUCUGAUCAUAACUUUAAAUAUUCUAAUUAAUUUUCUUAAGAAUCUGGUAUUACUCGAUUAUCUAGAAUGAUGCAGCCAACAGAAUGUAAACUUCUGAACCUCACAUUGUUCAGGCAAUCAUUUCAACCACAAUUAGUAGUGUCCCUGAGAGUAGCAGGUUUAGGGUUUAAUCCUCCUACCCCAAUAUAUCGUACCCUUCAUUUCUUAUGGUCUACACCUUUUAAAAUGGAAAGUUAAUACUGAAAUCAUAAUGGAUAAUUGCAUACCUCGUACCACUUUAUUUCCCACUGCAUCUGCAAAGCGGCACCAGGUAUAAGCCAAGGCUUAUUCUCUCCAAGCAUUGCAGCCAGAUGUAGUGCACUAUUGCCAUCUAUGUCCACGUGCCGAAACACGGCGUCCUUGAGGACUUUUCUUUUGACUAACAGCUCAUAAACAUGGGGUUGCCUGUACUCCACUGCCAACAACACAAUGUUCUUUUUUUGGUAAUCCUUGUCAUGGAUGGCCACUGGAAAAAGUUCUAGAAUUCUCUCCACAAUUUCCACCACACCAUUCUUUGCUGCAACUAAUAAGGGUGUCUCUUUUCUCUCCAUUUCCGAUGGUUUCUUCUUAUCUGCCAAUAUCAGAUGAUUAAAUUUUAUUUAUUAAGAAAUUCUGACCACAUAAUGGAUGACAAGUAUUAGAUCAAAGAUAAAACUCUUGCCAAGAAUAAAUAUAAUUGCUAGAGAUAACUGUUACCUUGUUCAUUUUUCUUAUUUUUACCAUUGUCAUUCUGUUUUCGCUGAGCUUCUGGUGAGCUUCGAUCAGCGGGAGCUCCUUUAUCUUCACCCUGUUGAUUAGUUGCUGAAGAAGGUUGAGCUGCUGUGCCUCCCGGUAGAUGCUGACUUUCUAAGGUGUUGUCAAAAGAAACACCAUGAUCAUCCGAGAUGCUGUAAGGUGUUGUGUCAGCAUCUUUCUUCUGUGAUGGUUGUUGAGGAUUUCUUCCAUUAUCUUCGUACUCAUAAAAAGAAGCAUGACAAAGAAGUUCAUCCAAGAUCUGUGCAGCCCAUACGUGCUUCUCUUUUUUCUGCCGGACCUUCUUUACGGCCUUAAAUCCUUAGUACCAUCAGAUAUAACAACCUUUGAGAAAAUUGAAGUCCUGCAUACUGGACAAUUGAAGUCUAAAGGAUUGGUGUAAAGGAUGGUAUGGAAAGGCUUACCAAAUCCGAGAAUUACUAAUAUUGCCUUGAAUACAAACUUGAUUAUAUUAAAGCAAGUGUGGUAAUUGGAGGGAAUCAGUUGAUGCCCUUGUGACUGCAAUUCUCCUUUCGCCUUCAUGUUUGAUUGGUUUCCUGAACAAAAUAAUUGGAAAAUUCUAUUUGAAUUGUCACAACACAAAAAUUAAAAAGGAAACAUAGAGAUCAUUACAAGCAACCUAUAAUGUGCAGAAACUUAGGCUAUUUUACUAGCGGAAACCAACCCAAAUGGUUCUUUCAGAGAUCUUGUAAUUGUUUUUUAUAUAAUAAAAAAAAUGACGCAUUCAAAAGAUAUAGCCCAAAACAAAUUUUAGAAACGUGUUGCUGAACAUGUUCCUGCAUUAUUUUCACUUUUCAUGUUCCUGGAAAUGGAAGACAGUAGUAUGCACUUCCUCUAGGAGAUUGGUCCUUUACAUUGCAAAAUUGGAUACAACCAUGUGAGAGCUAGCAGAAAAAUCUAUCCCUUUUUUUGUUGCAUGUUGGCUCAUUUUAAUGUCUCAAAAUAUUCUUUUUCUGAUCUUACAAAGGUUCUGAAGUGACAUUUAAUUUCAAUGUAGGCUGCCCCCCAUGCACAAGACAAUGGUCCAUAAGCUGCUCUGAGUAUACUGUGAUAAUGCAUAUAGGAACAGCUCAUGCUUUUUUUCUGAAGCCCAUUAAACAUAGAUGCCAGAUAGAGAAGAUGAUUGCUAACCACUGGGAUCCUCCAGAUCAGCUUGCCCACCAGUUCCUGGAUCUUUUCCGGUAUUAGCUGAAAAUGGGAAGUAGCUUAAUGACUACUUUUAGCAUAGAGGGAAGUCGUAACAGAACAUUCAAAAAGCAAGGCAUCAGUUUAAUGCUGCCAAUUCACAGAUCCAUGGAUAUCACCAUGCAAAUAAGCCUAUUGCUAAAGAGUACUACUACAUGUACAGAGGCUUCGCAUAAGAGAUUCUCCGCGCUACACUCAAUGAAAAGUGUCACCCUCUAUUUUGCAGAAGAUUAUUUUAUGUUCCCGAGUCUGUGAGAGAAUCAAUAGAGAGAACCUCUAAAACAAACUUUAUUCCUCCUACCACUAAAUAUGUAUCUUUCUAGGCCAACAUGCAUAAUUUACCUCAACUUAGGCUUGCACUGACUUCUUGCAUUUCACGUUUCUAUGAUAGCUAAGCUGCUAACAUCUCAGCAAAAUAAUUUAUAACUGGGGAUUUUUUUUUUCCUUUAUAAUGUUUUUAAAAUUUUAAAACAUAGUUAAUGUACAACAAAAGAGAUGAUACUUACCAUUGGUAGUCUUCUGAUCUGAUUGCUCAAGAUUUGUGUUUGGACGGUUUCCAGGAUCAACUGAAAAUGGGGAGAGGCUCAGUGAGGGCUUUUUUAUUAGAAUACAGGAAAUGGAAGUGCCAAGACAAAUAUAUAAGAACAGUGCCUAAUCCAGACCCGAAUGAAUUUAAGCCUGAAAGCCUAGCAAGAAAUAACUUCAGUGAAUUGGCCUGAUGGCCCUAACUUCGAAUGGAAGUAGACUGAUUUUGAUUUGUAUUUGCAGUCUUCAUAGAAUAUGUGAAUUCAGGGUCGCAUGCUUCGAUGGUGCUCAUCUAGUCUAAGAUUAAUAGAUGGGAGGUCCCAGAAAAAUCACCUCCCAAAGCAAAAUUACUUAUAUGGUAAAACACUAAAACUACUUAGUUGGGACAACAUAAAAUAUGAUUAAACAAAUAAAAAGAAAAAGUGUAGUUCUAUGAUAUCGUCACCCACAUAGUAUUGUCAAGGCCGACCAGGGCAAUCGGAGGAAAUUGAUGCAUGUUUGGUAGUUCUCUGGACAUAGAGGAUCCUUUUCUUCAUCAAAAGUUUUUACGAUAGCUUCCUCCUGCUUGAAUGUUUCCUCCUCAAGCUUUUCAACAAAUAUACCUUGAAAAUAACAGUCAAUAGAGCAAAGUGAAAACUGUAGUUAUGAGACAAUGUUCAUCAUUGCCAAAAUACAUUUAAGGCCUUGUUUGUACAGGCUUUCAAAGAGAGAAAAGCUCUUUUACUCAAAUGGAGUGUCAAAAAGAUAAAAUCCUAUUCCCAUGAAAUCCACUUGAUUUGCCACCAAUCCCGUGCAGAGGAUUGUGCUUAAUUCACGUCUAGGCAGAACUGGAAUACCAAAGUAAGGCCUAUUGAGGAAAGGGAAAUGUGCUGCCAGACAUUAUUUGAGGAAGGAAGUAGUUUUGAAGGAAAAGUGAUUCUUACAGUGAUAUAUGAUGUUGGUGAACCAUCGAAAAUGACUCCCGCUUCUGAAAGCAGAAUGUUUGGUGGCCAGGAGAUGGAGAGGCGACAAUCCUUGCUCAUUUACGGAGUUAACAAGAUUCUUGUACCGGCUAAUUAUUUGAAAAGCCAAAUCUAUCAAACACAAUGAUAAAUCUUUAAUCAGAUUAUUUUCAAAGGAUAAGAUAUACUUUAAUCAGAUUGAGUUGCUUAUCGAUAUAGAGUUAUUUUCAAAGGAUAAGAUAUACUUUAAUCAGAUCAUGAACAAGAUUCUAGCAAAGCACUCACCAAAGUAUUCUCCCGCGAUGGCACAAUGAAGAAUGGUAUCACCAUCAUUCCUCCUACAGUAAGUGUUGCCCUUAUCCAAUCCGCAUAUUUCAUCGAGGCAAAUAAAAGCUUCUUUCUUCCCAUGUAGUGCAGCCAAGAAGAGAGGAGUCUCACUGUCAUGGUUGCGGGCGCCAAUCAGGUCCGGGAGUGCAUCAGCAAUGCACUUACACAUCUCCAUGCUCCCCAUAGAUGCUGCUAAAUGGAGAAUGGUAUUCCCUCGCUCAUUUUGUAUCUUGAGAACCUCCUUGACCUUAGCUUUACCCCGGAUAAUGAGUAGUAGCUGUUCCACAAUACGCGCUUGGUCAUCAGAAACUGCUACAUGUAAUGCUGUGUCCCCUGAUUUUGUGAUUUUGGCCAUGUGAACUUCUUCAUUUUCCUUAUAUAUGUUCACAACUUCAUCCCAUUUACCCUGCAUGGCACUUCUGAACAGUUUCUUUUUAAUCACCUCCAUAUUUUGUCUUGUCUCCCGAGUAGAAGCCAUUUUUCCUGUCUUCUUCUUAAUGUAAACUACUUCUGGGAACUUAAUUUGGAUGGAAAAGAAUGGGGUAAGGAUGAUGAUAUUUAUGCUGUUUAGUAAAGUAUGUUUGGAUUAUAAAAUUCAAAAGAAGUUAGCAUGGUAGGACUGAGAUAAAAGGAUUUCUACUUUAUCUUGCAUCGAAAUGGCUAAAGAACAUAUGAUGAAAUAUUCCUAACUGCUAAACCAAGAAACCUUUCUGCUUUAGCCACAAUCCUCUUGACGUGUCACCCACAUUUAAAUACAAAAGUCUGCUGUUCACAACCGUUUUUUUUUUUUUUUUACUAUUAAUUGCAUAUUGUCUUUACUCUCUCUCUCUCUCUCUCCCACAUAUAAAUACAAAAGUCUGCCGUUCACAACCUUUUUUUUUUUUUUUUUACUAUUAAUUGCAUAUUGUUUUUACUCUCUCUCUCUCUCUCUCUCCCACAUAUAAAUACAAAAGUCUGCAGUUCACAACCUUUUUUUUUUUUUUUUACUAUUAAUUGCAUAUUGUUUUUACUCUCUCUCACCCACAUUUAAAUACAAAAGUCUGCAGUUCACAACCUUUUUUUUUUUACUAUUAAUUGCAUAUUGUUUUUAUUCUCUCUCUCUCCCACAUUUAAAUACAGAAGUAUGCAGUUCACAACCUUUUUUUAUACUAUUAAUUGCAUAUUUUUUUUACUCUCUCUCUCUCUAUAUAUAUAUACUUUUUAGAUUUAGAGCUAGCUAAGAUCUUGACGUACAUUAUUUUUUAUAUUCAUGCACUUGAUUGAUUUUCCCCUAUUAAUUAAACUCAUAAUAUUUCAAAUUUAUUUUCUUCAACAUCAUGACUGUGUGGCCUUUUUCUUUUCCAAAAUGCAUCCUUAUCUCAUUUAAAGUAAGAUAAGAGAAAUAAAAAGAAAGUGAAUGCAACAGAAGCUUUGCAAUGCACAUAGUCAAAAGCAAAUGUCUAGUGCAAUUAAUAAAAUGGUGGAAUAUGUGAAUGGGAAGCAGGGCUUUAGAUUGGCUACCUUUCUUUUCUUUUGAUUUUAUCACCUUCUCUCCCUUUUUCUGGUCAAAGAAAGGGCAGUGUCAUAUUCUUAGACUUGAUUUACAUGAUCUGUUGAAUAUAUAAAUAUUUAUACCUACCUGCACACCAUAGUGAUAGAUGAAGAUAUGACCAUAUCACCAUGCAACUUGGGGGAAUUGGUAAAGUUGAUUAUUAACGCAAGCCCAAUCUUAUUGAAGAAACAAUCAAAUUCAAUUUAAAUUCAACCCAAACUCUAAUAUAAGGUACUUGACCCUAGUUUAACCCAAUCUCAUUUUUCUAAAUUCGGUUUAAAUUCGAGUUAGUCAAGUUAAACUCAGAUUGAUCGAGUUAAAUUCAAAUUGGUUGUAUUGAUUAGGUUAUAAGAUUCAAAAUACAUUCAUAGUGGUGUAAAAAAAAAUCUAUAUAUUUAUAUCAAAAUUUAAAAAUAUAAAUAAUAUAAAAUUUUAAUAUAAUAAUAAAAUAAUAAAAAUAAACUUAUAUAUUUUUUAUUAAAAAUGUAAAAGCACAUAAUAUAAGUAUAAUUUGGUUUUUUUUUCUUUAAAAUCUAAAAGAAAAAUGAAUAUUAUCAUAUAAGAUAAUAAAAUUAUAAAUAUUAUAAAAAUAUUAAAUCAAAUUCGAGUUAAACUCGAUUUGUUUGAAUAUUGACCCAAACUCAAUCCAAAUUGAGUUUCAAUUGUAAAAACUUAACUCAAUUUCAAUUUGAAUAAUGAAAAUGUUUAUCCAAAUCCAUCCGAGCAUCGGGUCCGACUCAUGUUGGGUAUCAGGUUGGGUUGGGUUAACACUUCGAAAUUGCACCCCUAGCUAUGGAGCAAAGAAAACAAACCGCAACAAAUAUUGAGAUAUAGGACAAAGGAAAAAAAACAACUAGCAACAAAUUUGGAAGUUUAUCUAUCCCCAAAAUACUAAAAACCUCAAUAGCCACACCCAUUAGGGCAUUCCUCAUGAACAUUAACUUAUGGUUCUGAGUCCUCCAUAACCUCAAGCUUGACAGGAGCAAUACCAGGUUCAUCAACAAUGGCGUCCAGGUCUCCAGUCUCCCCUUCCAAAUGAGCCAUCAGCAUGGCCACGACAAGCCCACCUACACACUCCAUCAUCGAUGUUUUAUCACCCUUCCCACUCUUGCACAUGGAACCCAUAAUCGCCCCAAUGGAUGUUCCAAUGCAAUUGGUGCAAUAAUCAUCAUCUAACAUGUCCAUGUGACCAUAAUCUGGAAUAACAAAGCCAAGGCAAUUAUCCUUGCACUCGUUGAAAAACUCCGCGUAGUUGAGCCCAUCAGGAGCACAAGAACAUGGUAUGCAGCCGAUGACAGACUCGCCCCCAAGACCCGUACCGAUUACCAUAACCGGGAUAUCCAGAAUGAAGGAAUGAGGGACACCAGUUAGGAUCUUUGGACACAUUUUCAUGCAUUUAUUUGCCCCAGCAACCGGGUCUAUACCUAUUAGGGUUAAGAACUUGAGAUUCAUGGAUACGUUGGCAUUCCCCAGUGCAAGAGCAAAUGCUAGAUAACCCCCUCUGCUAUGGCCUGCAAGGGCGAGCCUGCUUAGGUCUGGAACAACAUUUUCUGGGAGCACAGAUUGAAGGCCUGAGCUUAACCAGUUGGCGACUUCCGCUGCAGAGUUGAUAUCCGGUCGGCCGUACAAAGAACAUAGGCUGAGUAACUAGACAAACCAUCAACCAUUGCAUAAUAUUAGUUGAUUUUGAAAGAAUGUAAAAAAAAAAAUAAAAAAAUAAGGGAAAAGGGAGUUGGACAGAUACCCUAGGAGCCACAACAAUAUCUCCAUGAGAAGAAAUAUGCUCAAGGAGGUUCGUAUAGCAGCAGGGGCAGAUGUUGUAGCCAUGAAGAAACAGGAGAACUGGGUAUGUUCCUUCAGUGUCUGGUGUUACAAUAAACAAUGUCUUUGGAGCGUUACAAGUUGUUAUGGGUUUCGCUGUGUAGUUUCCUCGCUUAAAAACAUCUGUUGCUGCCGCCGGUGCAGGCCUAGCUUCUAACGCUGCCAUUGCUCUCCCUCUCCCUCUCUCUCGGCAUGUUGAAACACACAGGCGGUCUUAUCCUAUAAUGGGUGGAGGAUCGGCGUUCACGCCCCACAUGGUGAUCCAGUGCCAUAUUUUUCUAUUCUAAAUAAUAAAAAAUAUGUUGAUUGAUAAUAAAGGGUUUUGUCAAAAAUAUACUGAUUCUAAAUACUAAUAGCAUUCAUAUAAAAAAUAGAUUAUUCUUCAAACAAUAACAUAGAAAAUGUCAAAUUCAAAUGAGAAUUAUUUCAUUCCUUUUAACCAAUUAAUUCUAAUAAAAAAACAUGUUUAAGCUCCAAUCACCCGAUAUUUCCUUCACACGCAACCUUGCGACAUGAGUUUGAAGAAAUAUGCAAUAGAGCUUCAAACUAUCAGAAGUGUAGAACUUAGAACACGCAAAAUAUGUAGUGUUUGUGCUGCAUUCAAUCUGCAUAAUUAAUGGGAUUCAGCAAAACCCCAUUAGUUAUACUUAUACCUUUAUCUCCAUCUCCAUUUAUAUUUGUUUGAGGUUUUAGCUCAAACUCUUAUGAUUUAACUAAUGUUUGGUUGGCGAAAAAUUUGAGGAAAAAUGUAAAAGAAAAAAAAUAAAGAUGAAAAGUAUUAAAAAAAAAAUUAAAAAAGUAGAUUUAAAGUCAUAAAUUUUUUUUUAAGUGUUACUUUAAACCCAUUUAACUUACUUUUCCACUUCUACGUGAACAUAAAAUAAUUUUAAAGUGAAUAAAAUUUUAAUUAAUUUUAAAUAUAUUUUAAUUUAUUUCAUAUUUUUUCAUAAUAAAACUAAACAUAAAAAAAUUAUUUUCAUAGGUAUUUUUUUUCUUUGCUUUGUACUAUUAAGAACUAAACACACCCUAAAUGAACUUGGGGGAAUAUUCUUGGCUAAAAUGUCACCUUAAACUUUAUUUUUAAAAACAUAGCAUCUAUGUUUCAAUUAAAGAUUAAUCUUUGAAAUGGUCCCCACCCCAAAAUUUAAAAAAAAAAAAAAACUUUAUUUUUAAAAACAUAGCAUCUAUAUUUCAAUUAAAGAUUAACCUUUGAAAUGGUCCCCCCACCCCGAAACAAAACUAGGAAAGUGACCCAAGCCAAGAAUGACAAAUUUUAAUAAAGACAGUUUGGCUGCACUUUGCAAUGAGCUAGGACAGUAUUAUUGAUCUUCAUGCAACAAUUCCUAGUGAAAAAAUUAGAGGGAAAAAAAAAAAGACACAAAUUUAACGUGGUUAGAUAGAUUGCCUACGUCUACAAGAAUAGGAAAGAAGAUUUUCAGUAUAUUUAAAUUAGGGUUACAUAAAAGGGUAUUUAUACUAACCCUCAGGUAUUAAAAUUUCAAAAAUACUCUUGAACUAUACUACAUGGGUAUUUGCCCCUUUUUCUCUAUAUGUUUUUCACUCAAUAUAAGCCACAUACUACAAGUAUCUUGGGUUUCAUCUUCAAUGGGUGUGUCCUUUUCUUUCUUUGAACAGAAAGAAUAAUAAUAAGUAUAGACAAAAGCAUAUUGUAUGGAUGAUAUGGAUCGAUCCUUUCAUAUUUGCAUUCUCUGAUUUCUCUUUCAGAUAUUUUAGCACCUAUAUAUUGGUUAACCUUGAAGGGGACACAAAGGAUUUGGGUGUCAUUCUCAAAAGAAUUAACCUUUCUUGUCUCUCAUAAAAUUUGUGCUAAAUCCAAGUAAUCAUCUUGGAUUCAUAAAUAAUGGUUAAUUUUAAGUGAUCUUAGACUCACAAUGCGAUAAGGAAAGGUUUAGUAAGAGCAAGUUUAAAAGCUUCGAGGGGUUAGCACCUCCCAAUACAACCCUGAGAUGAGAUGAUAAAUAAGUUUGAUGGAUGUCUUACUUUUCAUGGAGCAAGUGUUUAAAUACAAAAAAAUACUCACACAAAUGACCACUAAAAUAGAAACAAACCAACUACGUAAAUGAAUGACCCAUAUCUCAUGCAGCUCACUAGCAACUAAAGACUAGGACAAAUAAUUAAAAUGUAAUGAAUGCAUAUCUUCAUCUAUUUAAUUAAUAAAAUAAAAGUUAUAAAAAAAUACUUAAUACAUAUUCUUAAGCCCAUGAGCAGGUUAUCUUUUAUCAUAGACUACCUUAAUCUUCGACCAUCCUAAAGCAUUUCGUCUUGAUCAUUUGACUAUCCAUCAAGUGAAACGGUUCCUCACUAAAGAAAACCAAAGUUCCACUCCAACCAAGGAAAGAGAUAAAUCACAUCUUGGCCAAAUGUCAAUCCUCCUAGUUUGACUAUAUGAUGAAGUUACUCAAUAUAUAUAUAUAUAUUAUGUUUUUCAUCAAUUAUUAAUUUAUAUUUUUUGGGGCCUUCAAAUAUUUUUGAAAAUAUUAUUAUUUUAUGUAUUUAGUGAGUUAUUAACUUAGUAUACUAGUCCAAGUUGGAAUCGAAAAAAUUCAUUAUUUAAAUGAAAUUAUUAAUUUAUGAAGGUUUUACUGUAAUGUUUCAAUCGUACAUAUAGGGAGCAAAGGUUUCAUAUUGUUAUAGUUUAUUUGGUUGACUACAAAUAACUCAUCAAUAGAGAGCAUUACCCCCCUAAAGAAAAAUAGUUCUUAGUCUUUUACAAAUUUUUACUUAUGUCAUUAAUUUGGUAAAUUCUCAUCUCAUCUAUAGAAAAUAUUGUUAAUAAAACAAGCUCAUAGUAUUAUAGCAUAAGAUUGUACUUCUACAUGGUAGCAUACUAUUAUUGUCGACAAUUACACUUUAGUCCAUUAUUUUUGAAAAAUUAUACCAACACCCGAUGAGCAGCCUGAUUAGAGCAAGACCACGCUUUUGACCAACUAUGACCAUUGACGUAUAGGUGAUUGUUAAUUGUCGCCAUUGAAAAUUUAAUGAAAAUCCUUAAAAUACCCUCAAUUACCUUAUUUAAUAUAAAAUGCCUAAAAUACCCCUUAAACCUUAUCUUACAUAACCUUACCUCAUCACAUUAAUAAAAUUUUAUUCCAAAAGAAUUGAAAUUAAAAUUUUGACAAAUAUAAUGAUUAAAUGAAGUUAAUAUUUGGACAAAUAUCAUGAACGUCUUCCUCGAUUCCUCUCCUGUAACAAAAGAAGAAGGAUGUUUGUAGUCAUCUAACUAGCAAACCUAUUUCCAACGUUACCCCACCAACGACAAUUUUCACCAACACACAACUUUAGUGUAUAAAUUUUGAUGGCCCAUAGCCUUAUAAGCUAGAGGAAUUAAUGAACAAAGGAAAGCCCCAUAUGAAUGUUGACGACCAUUGUGCUCGGCAAAUUAGGUCCUACUUAAUAACCAUCUUUUAAAAUAGUUUCCUAUUUCUCCAAAAAAAAAAAAAAGGAAAAAAAUAUAUUUAACAACCAAAAAAACAGGAAACAAUUUUUUUAUUUCUAAAAACAUAAAACAAUUUUCUAUUUCUAAAACCAGAAAAUAUAAUAUUUUAAAAUAAUACAUUUUAAUUGUUUUAAGUUUUUUUUUUUUUUCUUUUUUAAGAUUGUUUAAAAAUAAUUAUAUAAAUAUAAAGAAUAACUAAAAAUAAAGUAUUAUGGAUAAAAAUUAUUUUUAAAAACAUAUUUAAAAACAAAGAAAAUUAACAAGUUAAAAAUAUUUCAAGGUUUCAAAUAAAAUUUUGAUUUACAAAAUAUGAUAAAAUUAUUUUUCUAAACCGUUUCCAAAAAUACUCCUCAAACAUAGUCUUUCCACACGCCUUCAUAUGUUAUUUGCUCCCAAAGGUAUAUAUACCAAGUACUAGAAUAAUGCAAAUUCCAAUUAAUCAAUGGUGCUUUAGCUGAGUUGGAUGGCAGUGUACUGCCAAGUGAAACCUCCAAAAGUAUUGAUCACAGUACUGAAAGCCAAGAAUCAUUGUACUGCAUUUUUAUUAUCAAUUAAGCAUUGCCAUGUAAGAGAAAAAACAAACAUAAUAAUUGGAAACAAUUAAUGAUCAUCUAUUGAGACCCUAUCAAAAAUGACCUAAUCCACAUGUGAUGUUCUUAUAAUAUGGAACACCCAAUCCCCCAUUCUUAGUCUAACACAAAUGAUGGGUCUUGAGAAUAGUAGAGGUCAUUAGCAAUACAACACAGUUUCGUUUAUUUGAAUCUUUGUUCCCAAAGACGAACCGAAAAAAAAAAAAAAAAAAUCUGCUGUCACACUCCUUAUAGCAUUACAAAGAAUCCAUGAUUUCAUGCUUCUAUGAACUCAACAGGAUCAAGCUUCACAGGAGCCAGAUCAGGUUCAUCAACAAUGGCUUUGAAAUCUCCAGUCUGACCUUCCAAAUAAGCCUUCAAGAAUGCAACAAAAAGGCCACCCACACAUCUCCUCAUGGGGUCCCUAGGACCCUUCCCACUCUUGCAGAUAUAACCCGAAAUCGCCCCAAUGCAGCCUGAAAGAUGAUCAUCUAACAUGUCCAAGUGACCAUAUUCAGUAGUCACAAAGUGGGAACAAGGAGGUUUACACUCACUGAAAAACUCUACAUGGUUCACUCCAUCUGGGGCACAUGGACAUGUUAGGCAGUUCCUUGGCUCAUCGCCCAACCCCGUGCCGAUUACGCAAACUGGGAUUGCUAGAUUGAAGGAAUGAGGAACAUAGGUUAGGAUUUUGGGAACUGUUUGGCUACAUUUACUCAACCCACCAACAGGGUCUAGUCCUAGUAGGGCUGAGAAGUUGAGGGAUGUAUCAGCAUACCCUAGUGCCAGAGCAAAUGCUGUCUUUCCCCCUCUGCUGUGGCCUGAAAGAGCAAGCUUGAGUAGGUCUGGUUUCACAUUUUCUGGGAGCACAGAUUGAAGGCCUGAGGAUAGCCAAUUUGUGACUGCUGCUGCUGAUUUGAUCUCUUGAAUUCCAGAAGGAGGUAAUAGUCCGUAUAACUAUAUAGAAAACCAUUUCACAGUACUGCAUGUCAGAGAUUGGAGAUUAAUAGAAAAUGUGUUUGUGCAUGCGGUUAUUAAUUGAAAGUUCUCCCAAAUGCCUUGCAAUCUUUCGGAUGAACUUGAUUAAAAAUAUUAAAUCAAGUUUGGGUUAGGUUCAAUUUCCUAAACUUUGGUCCAGAAUAAUUCAAAUUGAGUUCAAGAUUGAAAAACCCUAAUAUAAGAUCAACCUAGAUGUCAAAAUGAUUACCAAAGCUCAUCUAAACAUUGGGUUAGGUUGGAUUUCAUUCGGGUCAACCUGUUAAACAGGUUGCACCUCUAUUAUUAUGUCAAUAUAUAAAUAUAUUGAACUAAUUUGGAUUGCAAUACUUCAAUUACAAAGAUCAUUACCUUUAAUUUUAUAAUUAUAUAUAGAGAUGACAAUAUGACAGGUUUUUUUUAGUACCAAUCUCACCACCCUGCCCCUAGUGGAACAUGUUUAAAAUUUAAAUAAAUGGAUUCGAGACAAAUUUAGAAUUUUUUUAAAACCCGAGGCAGGCUCAAAAUGGAUUUAGGUAUUGUCUAAUCUUAUCUCGUUCCAUCACAUUCAAAAUAAAAUAAGUUAUAAAAAAUUAUAUUAUUUUUAUUAUUUAUAAAAUAUAUUUAUUUUAAUAUAAUUAAAAUAAAUAAUUUUUUUCAAAAAAAAGUUAAAUAGUCGGGCAAGGCGAGUAUGGUAAAUUCGUAUGCCCACCCUACCCAUUUAACUUUUUUAAUAGGAUGGAGAUGGAAACUAUUUUGGAUAAACAUAACUCACCCUGAACCUGAAACCAUCCUCUUAUCAUCUCCAACUAUAUAUUAAGUACAAUUAAAUGGGAAACGAGUAGAAGAAGAAAAAGAAAAAUAGGGGGAGGAGGAUAGUUAACAGGGAAGAGAGGUUGAGAAAGCACCUGAGGAGCCACCACUAUGUAUCCAUGGGAAGAAAUGAGUUGAAGGAGCUGGGUGUAGAAGGUGUUGCGGAGCUCGAAGCCAUGAAGAAACAAGAGAACUGGGUAUGUCCCUUGAAUGGUUGGUGUAACAAUCAACAAUGGCUUGGGAGGGGAAGCGAUGUUUGAAGUCUCCACUCGAAUGCAAGUCACACUCAAAUUUCCUGGCUCAAAAACACUGGUUGUUGUCUUCAAAUCAAGCUUGAUUCCCUGGGUUGAAGGAUUACCUCCUAAUAGUGCCAUUGCCCCCUUUUAGAGUGUGUGGAAAUCAAGGUAUAGAUCUCUCAUUUUAUAAUUGGAGAGAAUGAUGAAUUGCAGCCAUUGGGCAGCUAUGCAGCUGGGCCCUAGAGGAAGAGUCCCCGACUCCAAAUAAUUGUAGCAGCCUUCGAGUCAAUCAAUACUAGUCAAGUACACCAACUAACAAAAAGAUAUUUCAAACAAAUUUCAUUUAACUAUUAGACUUAAAACUUAAAUAAUUCAAAAAUACAUAAAUUUUUAACUAAUUUUAAUUAAAUUUUAUUUUAUUUCAUAUUUUUUAUAAUGCAAUUAAAUAUAAGAAAUUCAUUUUUCUUAAUUUUUUUUUUUUAGUAUUUUAAGGACUGGUAAAAAAAAAAUUAAAGGCUAACUAAAAUAAUUUUAAAAACUAUUUUUAAAUUUUCAAAUAGGGGUUUGUUUUAUAAAAUAUAAAAAAAAACAAUUACGACAACAAAACCUAAUAGGAUACAACCUGUAGACCCUCAAUUUUGUCCCUUUAGCACAUGUCUUUAAAUUUGUUUUCAGUGCUCCAUAGUAGUUCCUUGGUGGCCCAUUAUUACUCGCAUAAAAGGUGGAAGACCAGAUCCUUAAAAAAGAAGGAGAAAAAGAUACCAAAAGCAGAAGAGGAGAUAUAGUAAAGAAGGGGGGGUUUUUCAGAGAGGAUUUUCAGCACACAUAAAAAAAACGUGGGGAAAGAGAUUCAUCCUGGAGAGGGGAAUUGGAAAAGAGAAGCAGUACUUCUUUAGAAAAGUUCUAAGGUAAGCUUUCUGAUUAUUUUUCUGGCUCACCUUCCCAAUCUAUAUUCUUCAUUCUCUCCUUUUAUGAUCGGGAACACUGUUUGCUUGUUGGGUUGAGGAUGGUGGAAACUCUAUGUGAACGUUUCUGAUUUCUAGUUUUUGCAUAUGCUUACAAAUAUUGUUUCAUUCCCUAUUACUAUAUUCAUUUAUUUAUUUUUGAUCAUUCGAACUCAGUGAGACUCUGUUUUAUGGUAUAUUAUUUGAUGACAUUGUUUGCCCUAUCUCUCUUUUACUCUUCCCACCAAUCUAAGCCCAUGGAUUAACACUUGAAAUGAGGCUACGUUAAUUGGCAUCCUCUGCUUAUUCCUUCCCCGGUUUUUACUAUGUGUCUAUCCAUGUCCUCUGUUCCCCUAUUCAUACUACCUUCCAGUCUUUGUCUAUAUAUUUGGGUGUGUAUUCGGGACUGAUAGAAGUGCUGAUAUGAAAGAUAAAGUGUGUUGCAAACGCGGUGUACUCAGUGUAUUCCUGGUGGACUGUGAAGAAUGAAGGGUAGUGAUGGAGAUUCAUAUCGUGUGAAUUUGGUUGAAUAACAGAAGAAGGGUUGCAUGGAAACAGCAAAGAGAGAGGGAUCUUCAGGAAUUUCUACUAUGGAAAAGGACUUAUGAUUACACAGUCCAACUGUUGGCAAGAUCUCUGGUCACAAUAUUCGAUCAAAUCAAUUAUGUUUUUGGAAUUACUCAGAUGACGGAUGUUGAGGAAGACAUAGAUUCGAGGAUAAUGAACUUUGAUUAUAUUAAUCGCAACCAGUCAGUUUCUGCAUUAAUGCUAUCUUCAGUUUAUCCAUCUGAGAAUAGUAGAGCCAAAUUUACUUCAAGUCCACUAUCUUGGGACUAGAAGCUCUUCACUUAUUCAUUAUCCACUUAAAAUCCAAGUGGCUUUCCACGACUCGUAGACAAGUUACAGGCGUCAUCCUUUUCUCACAUGAUUUCUACAUCCAAAGCCUUCCGUGGCAUGCAUCAUAAUACAUCAAGUGGCUAGUUUAAAAUAUCGUUAAUUAUCAGAGGAGCUUUCUGGUAUUUGUUAACAUAGCACACACCCUGCAAUCUACUCACAUGGAUGAUCAUGACCUUCUAGUUGGGUCCAAGAACGCUCAUUGAGUUCAAAGUUAGGCAGAGAAUGCAUUGGAUCGAAUUGACGGGUUUGAAAAGAUUGUUAGAGCAAUUUCUAUUGUUGUUAGGUUCCUUGUAACCUUGAAGACCGUGCGCAUCAUACCUUCACUUGCACUUUUAAUGAAAUCUGAUGAAGUGAUUGACAGAUCCUUUGUUGCCCAGGCUGAUUAGUCUUGUUUGUAAUGGAAGUCGGGGAAUAAAUCUUAUAAUUGCAAAUUCAGGUGCAGUUGCUGGGUUGAUAACCCUAAUGGAUUAUAUAGAAUAAGAUCCGCCAAACCAUAAUUGUUUUAUCUAGAGAGUGCAUGCAAGAUGGAUCUUAAACGUGGAUAGUUUCCAGUUGUUUCUGCGUAUUCUAAUGGAGAUGGAUGUUCUGAUGGUGGAGCUUUUGACAAUGGACCUUGUUUUUUUAGGUGCAACAUCUGGCUGGAGAUCAGUUUCAUGAACAUAAAUCUAAGAUCUACUUACCUUAUGUGUCAGGAAGUCCACUUCUUGUCAAUGAGUUAGUUUAUGAUGAUGCUCCCUAGCUGUUUGGUUCCUAAAGAUGAAUGUCUGCCUGCAAAAGAGAUGAAGCAGCCCCUAAUGCUGCUGAUUCUGAUACAGCAAGAAACUUCUCAUGAAGUCACUCUUAUGACACUGCUGAUGAGGAACUCGGUUAGAAGUUCAUGACACUUGUCAGGGAUUGAAGUUCUAUUCAAACUACUUUCAUGACUUAAUUUUUCCUGAUUUUCUGAAAUAAUGCCUAUUGCUCUACAUAAUAUCUCGGUUUACGAAAAGCUUUACUCAACAUCAUCCAACAUUAGUACUCCAUGAAAGAUCAACAAUUCUACAAGUCUCCAAGGCUUCCUUGUUAUCAAUGCUAAUGGUUUCCCCGGGAUUAAAAAUUCAUGAACAAGGACUUUCUGGAUCAUCUAAAUUUUCCUAGUCAUAUUCCUAAAGAUUCUAAUGAAAUGGAAAAGGAGAUUUUUCCCAGAUCAGCUGGUAUCUAUAUCCGAAAUGAGACAGCUCGAUCAAGUCAGAACGUGCUUGAACUUCUUUGUAAAGCGGAUCAACUAAGGGAUCAAAAUGCAGCAUGCUCAGUUCAGAUCUCAGAGAGGAAGCCAUUAUCUGAAAUAUCAGAAUCAGAAAUUUUUAUGGUUCUAUAGGUCACCUUCAGCGAAAUCAGUCCUCCGCUUCUUAAAUCAGUUAAUUCGCUCAACUCACAUACCUCUCCUGAGAUAGAAGAUAAGAGUCAUGCAUGGUUGACAUCCGUUCCUCCUGUUCGGUUUUUACCUCAUUCCUAUGAAGCGUCUCAAAGAGAGUCGGGGUAUAAUGAAUUCUUGGGGAAAAGAGCAUCCGAGACCGUAUGCAAGGCAUUUGAUGAAGUAGAUGGAAUAGAACUCGCAUGGGGUCAAGUGGAAAUUAAGGAUUUAUUACAGUCCUUUCAACAGCUAGAAAGAUUAUAUUCAGAAGUUCAUUUACUGAUGUCACCGAAACACGAUACAUCAUCAAGUUCUAUAACACUUGGGUUGAUGAUAUGAAUAGGACUAUUAACUUGAUUACAGAGUUAUUCACUUCCAGGAGUUUGAGACAAUAUCGGAAGAAGUAUCAGCAUAUUGACUUCAAAGUUCCCAAUCCGUUUCAAGUCCCACGGAUGCCCAAGCUGUCUUUGAAACUCUGACAAGAAGGAGUAGCUAUUCAAACCAUCUCCAACAGUACACCUAGUGCUGAUAGUUUCUGGUGUAUAACAGGGAUCAUUACAAGGAAAUAGGAAGGUGCUGAUGCUGUUUUUCUAAGGGAACUGAACCGAAUGACACCAGCAUGCUAUUAUUGCCCAAGAGUAUCAAAAGAACAUGAACUCUUAUCAUCUCAUCAUGGAACAGCCUCCACGCUCUCUAUAAAACUCUUAAUUGAUACAAAUCUGGGAACAUAGACUUCGUUUGCUAUCCGCGAUCAUUGCCAAUGCUCUUAUCUUGGCCCAAGAUCCAUUUGGGAAUUAUGUUGUGUAAUAUGUAUUUGAAUUUGAGGGUUCAUGGGCAAGAACAGAAACGCUCAACCAAUCAGAGGGUUAAUAUAGGCACCUCUCCAUGCAGAAGUACAGCAGCAAUGUCGUUGAGAAGUACCUGAAAUAUACUGGGGAAGAGCAGUUUGCUUGUAUCAUUUAAAGAAUUCAUAGACCAUAUAUCCCUAAUUAGAUCGGAUGAUGCUGGACCCAUAUGUCAAUUAUGUCAUUCAAACUACAUUAAACCACUCCAAGGAAGACAUGGAUAGGGAAAGUUGGUUACUCCAAGGUCCGUAUUUCUCAAGAGCAACCCAAGGUUGCUGGAAUUCUCCAUCCCUCACUAGAAGUCACCAAAACUUUGAACAACAGGAAGCUUCGGAAGGUGCCAAAAGAGGGCAGAAUGCAUUUUGGAGUUCAACGCCAGCACUGCAGUCUCAAAUCUCAUUCACAAGCUCCACUCCAUCAUAGCAACCGUGCUACAAGCAUCUUCUCCCCUACUUGCUUCUUUGAUUGAGAAUUUACUGUUUUAAAUUGAAUUUCAAAACCAUUGUUCAACUAAACAUUAUCAACUUUGAAAAAUUCAUCUUUAGAUCUUAUCUAGGCUAUAAAAUCCAGAUUUCAACACUCUUUUGUUGUCAUUUUCCUUCCGGCACGCAUUUUCACUAUUUUAUUUGAUUUUCAACUAAUUUUCUCGAUUUUUUCUAAGCAUGAAUAAAUUUUAUGAUUCCAAACAAUGAAAUUCAUGGAAUCAACUCAUGCGAAAUUAAUUAGGGCUUUGGUGGGAGGCCCGACAUUCAUGAUACCUUCUUCAAUAUUGUUUGCUUGAUAUGUUGAUUUUUUAUUCUUCUUGAUGAUAUACAUGAAUUUGUUUCGUAUUUAUUGUUGAGAUGCUCUUGAUUCCCAUAGAGGAGUACUAGCUUGCUAUCCUGGUGCGCUCUCUUCUCAUCUAUUUUUUAGAACUCUAUGGACUUGUAUGUCAUUAAUGACCAUAUCCAUAUUUGACGUGAUUCUUGGAUGUCUUGAUAUAUGUCUGAUUUGCUUGAAUAAAACAAAUGUUGUGUGCUACAUUUCUACACUAACUUUUAUGUUUUAUGAUAGCGUUUGAAGAGUGGUUCAGGUACGCACCCUAACUCUCCUUUAUUGUAAUUUGAUUGUGUUUGGCAUGUCACUCUUUAAAAUCACCUAACCUAUUUAGGUAUCUAUAAUUAACUGAUUAAUUGUCACACUUCCAUUAACUUUGUCAGUAGAGACCUUUAAAGGGCUUAGAGGGGUGCUACCUUUUAAAGAUACCUUCCCAAUAGGUAACCUGAUCCCCGAACUUAAACUCAGGUUUUUCAAAGACAUGCUUUUUCCAAAAAUUAUGGAGUCAUAUUUAGGGUUUUUUUUUCUUGUUUUAUUUUCCCUUUAAAAUAAAAAUAAAAUAAGUAGCGGCUUCAACUUUUUUUUAAAAAUUAAUUUUUCACAAAUAAAAAACGAGUCUCGCCGAUCGAGUGGGGGUGCACGUGAAAAAUGCGGGUCAUACAACCCCACUUGCUUUUCUCACGAUUUUAGCAAGACAUUAGUGGUUGAAUCUUUGUCCGUACAUGGCUGCUUUAUCAUCAGCCGCCCUAUGGUUUGUAGUGAUAAAUUGAUAACAUGCGGUUUGUGUACACGGCUUUAGCAAGAAAAAGGAGGAAAAUUCCACGUGGAAGUUCAUUUUUUGCCAGAAAGUCAAGCGACGACUCCACUAGUCUCCGUUGGGUGCGUUUGGUAUUUCAAGAUUAGGUACGGAUGAUCUUAUCCAACGAUUCCAACCAUCCUCCCUUUAUUUAAAAUAAGUUUUAUUCAUGUUUAAUCGAAAAAAUUAAAUAGUACCCAUCCUUUAACUUUUUUCUGAAAAUUUUUUAAAUUUUUUCACAAAAAUUUAUUUUUAAAAUUUUUUAAUUACAUUAAAAUAAGUAAACUUUAUAAAUAAUUAAAAUAUUAUAAAUUUUUAUAACUUAUUUUAUUAAAAAGCAUUUAUUAUUAUUAUUAUUAUUAUUAUUAUUAUUAUUAUUAUUAUAUUAAAAAUAAGAAAAUACAAAUUAAAUUAAAUUAAUUUUUAAAGUCAAUUAUUUGUCAUCCCUGUUUAAGCUCAAUAUGGAGUUGAUGAGUGUACUUAAUUGUAUACCAUAUGUAUUUAUUACCAAUAAAAGUUUCUUAAGUAUGAUUGAAUGAAAAAGAAUUUCUACCAUAACAAAUACUUUCCUAACUUUAUAUUAAGGUUAUGUUGAAUUCCCAAAAUGUAUCAAAGAAAGAAAAAAUAUUAAGCAAAAUUAUUUUCUCAUUUUGUUGUGAUAUGAAAAAUAUAAAUAAAAAAGAUUCGAAUAUAAUUAAUACUAGUUACAAACUUAUACAUUUUCAAAUUAGUUAAUUUUUACAUUGAUAGGUUAAAAUAAAUUAAAUAAAUUUACAAUAGCAAAUAAUAUAUAAUUUGUUGACUUUGAAUCCAAUCUUUAUUUUUCUUCACUUUUUCUUUUCUUCUAUUUUUUCCCUUACAUUUUUUUUCAAAUUUUUUUAAAACCAAACAUAGUCUAAGAAUUCUUUCUUAGAGAAAAUGUAUUAUAAUAAAAUUAUUUAAAUAAGUUAUAAAAAUAUUGCUUCUUGUUGAAUGUUUAUCAUGACUUAAACCAAAAGUUGCUACUGAUUUGAAACUCAAUAUCACUAGCUCUUUCAAAUCUAUAAAAUUUGAAUUUUACGAGUGAAUUUUAAUUGUGGAUUAUAGCUAACAAAGAGUAAACCAAUGUUAUAAAAAUCUCAAAGAGUACCUCACAAUUUUAAUAUUCUCCGUUUUUCUCUUAAUUUUUUAGCAAAUACAUAAGAAACAUGCAAGGGAAAUCGUUGUUCUAAUAUGGACUUAUUUACAAAUAUGAAAUUCAUGCUCUAACUAUAUUAAAAGAAAAAUAUAAAGAAAAUUAGAGAUACAAAAACACAAUAAUAUAAUGUGGAAAUCUUUGAAGAGAUUAAAAAAAAUGCACAAAAUUUACUAUAAAAAAAAUACUAAAUACAAAUUUUACUUCAUCGAAUACUUUUAAUCCCUCUCAUGGACUACUUGAAACUUUACUUCUCAGUUUUUCAUAUAGAACUCUUUGGAAUCCUUCUAAACAUGAUUUUGGCUUAUUCCUAAUAAAGACUCUUAGUUUGACAUUAGUCAUUUUGGUACAAGCAAGUAAAUGCUCGAUGUAUCAACAUUGGGAGAAAAGGAGCUCAUGUUCAUACGGAACAACCUCCACACGAAGAAAAUAGUCAAAAGGUCCAAGGUCCUUAAGAGAAAACCGUUGGGUUUCUGUGAAAAGGUUGUGUUAUUUAUGCAGUACUUCUAACCAUAGACUCCUCAUUCACAAUAACUCUUACCAUUUCGCUUCAUGCCUUCUCUGAUGUAAAUUGGGCUAGUAAUAAGGAUGGCUUCACUUCAACAAAGUGAGUGUUUAUAUUGUUUAUCUGGGUCGCAAUCUCAUCUUAUGGAGUAAUAAGAAACAGUGUAUUAUUGUUUGUUCCUCUGCAGGAGCUGAAUAUAGGUCGAUGGCUACUACAAUUAUCAAAAUCAAUUAGGUGUGCUCUCUUCUCACUAAGCUUAGCAUUCAGCUUCCCCAAGCACUUGGGAUUUAUUGUGACAAUGUUAGUGAUAUUCAUGUUAACCAAACAUUUAUAAACUUUAUGCGGAAAUAAUUAUUUUAAAAACAAUUUUGGAUGCAUAAAACAAAAUAAAUGUAAGUACUAAAAUAAUGAUCAUAUUCUUACCUUGAUCCAUGAUACCAAUAACACUUUUAAAGUGAGAUUGAGUCACCUUGUGAAUUGGAUUGUCAAGGUUUUCAACUUACUACUCUCAUAUAAUGGAUGGGUCACUUGUGUGGUGUAUGUUGUUAAAAAUAAAACAACAAAAAAGACAUGAGAAUGAGAGUGUGGCUUGGGACCUCAACUUAUAAAAAAUUGUGCAUCUCUUAGUCUUCCCAUCAAAGACUAUAUGGGAGUUAUACUCAUUAUUUACACCCAUUAUGUACAAAUUAAUGGGUAAUGGUGGGUUAUUAACUUGAAUGCAUCUCUAUAAUUGCAUAGGUUAUACUUUUCCAUUUUCUUCCAUUACUCAUAAACAGAAUGUACCAAAUAAAUUUCAUAAUGAUGGGGUUACAAAAGUUGUAACACCACAUUCAUAUAAAUUAAAUUUUCUAACUCCCUAUUUUUAAUUUGAGUCUUUCAUACAUAAGACUCUUUAAUGCUCAAUCAAUUGAUUCACCUACCUAUCAAUUGAUACCCUUAAAUAAUAUUUACAAUGGUCACACAUUAUAGGAAAAAAACUAACAAUCUCACACUUGGCCUACAUAAUUAUAUUUGUAAUAGAUUAAAACAUAAUGUGGUCAUAACAAUUUCUCAAAAAUAAGCAUCCCUUACGUUAAGAUUAUGUUUCAUGGAACCACUAACACCAACUCAUUGAAAUGAUUGGAUCACAAAACGAUCCAAUAUUCUUCAAGGAUUAUAGUACUAGCACCUCCGUUAACAUGAAUCAAUGACUUUUAUGACAUUAGCAACAUUAAGGUGAUAAUGCUAAUUCAUUCACAUAAUGGUCCCAUCAACUUUUAAACAUUUAGAUUGUGCACAAAAUGGAUGUAUAAAAGUAACAUAAUAAUCAUCAAUAUAUCAUAAUCAAAAACUUUAUUCUCAUUAUAAUGUGAUCACAUACAUUACACUCUCAAUCAAUCUAAAAUUGACAAACUUGCCACCAAGCCCAUGCGCGCAACAUGAUCCAUAAAAAGCUUAGGUAGAAGACCUUUUGUCAAUGGAUCUACCAACAUGAGUGUAUUUUUAAUAUGUUCAAUAGAGACAACUCCAUUUUGAACUUUCUCCCUUACAACCAGAUACUUAAUAUCAAUGUGCUUCAUAGUAGGCAAUGUGAGAAAAUUACCUUCUUCCUUCUGUUUAAUUUCUGAAGAAUGAUGUGCAGAAGCCUUCGACCUUGGCUCUUCCUCAGACUCACUAUCAUCAGGGCUUGCUUCUCCAUAAUAUGCCAAGAGUGAUGUUUCCUGAUCAAAAACUUUUUUAUAACGUUUUCCUGGUACCAUCCAAUGUGAUGUUGGGUCAAUUUGAUCAUAAGGUACUGUCUCUCCAGAUCUCGGUUGUGAGAGCUAGGGAAUACUUCCACUAUCAUAUUCGAAAGGUUCAACAUAUUUAAGCAUUUCAUCCAUGACUUGAACAGGCCAGGUGUGCUUUUCUUUCUUCUCUUUUAUCUUAUUUAUGUCUUGACCCUGUCCACCACAAUAAAACACAACAUACAUUGAACCAAUAUUAGCACUUUGGAUAUGAACAGAAUAUGUGCAUAUCAUUCUAGUGUGUACAUAUAUAUAUAUGGUGAUCAUACCAACUAUAACAGCCGGCAAUGCCCAUACUUUAGCUAUAAGCUUGAUGAAGUUCUCAUAGCAAAUGCCAUAAUAAUUUGGAUGAGGCUGCUCUUGUCUUCGAGCGUUAUUUGAUUAUUUACCUGUAAAUUAAAAAGAGGUUUGGAGUAUUCUCAGAGCAAGACUCUUACACUAGUGUUCAUUUGGGAUAUAAGUAGCACACAAAUUGAGAACCCAAAAAAUAAAUAAAUAAAGGUUCUCAAAAGAAAACAUUUAUGGACUAAUUAAACUUGGUUGAUUAGGUGAUACAAGCAAGAAAUUUAUUGGAAGAUAUAUCUCAAGCUCAAUAAAUUAAUGAUUUAAUUUGUACUCAAUAAAUUUAUGGUUCUAAAAAAAAGUGCUCAAUCAAUUAAAGUUUAACCAGAUUGUCUAGAAUUGAACUUUUCAUCCUAAUUUGCUCUUGAGCUGAAUUCAAGAAGGUUCUGGAUUUACUUAUUAGCCCAAUGCAAAUUCAUGAGUAACUAUCUGGUCGAAGUCUCAUAUGCAUAACUAAAAUGAUGAAUUAAUAUGGGAAUCACUUAACCCACCUGAUGCUUUGAUCAUGUUCCAUAAGUUGGUUAAUAUAUAGAAAUUCUCUGUAUGGUUAGGGUUCUCGGCAGCUUCAUAUUUCUGUGGAAGGAGCUUUUUGACAGGCACACCUUGCAAAAUAACAUUGGAAUGAAACAUUUUCACAUAGUAAACUAAUACAUGAUUGCCCUAAAAUUAUCCUACAAAAACCUUCAUUGAAAAAUAGAUAUGGGAUUCUCAAUUGCUUCAAGGCAAGUGAUUUAUGGAUGUGCUUCUCUCACGCACACCCUAGGCUAGAUUUGUGAAUAAAAACUGUUAUUAUAAUAUAGUUUAGAUUAUUAUAUAAAUUACAGGUAAAUAAUGACUUAGGAUAAUGGGGUAGAUGACUUUAAACAAUAAAUAUCAAACAUAGAGCAUGAAGUAGAUCUGCAUCAGGCAUUGAUCGGCUGGCUGUCGUCACUGGCCCUGAAAAUUAGAUAUCAAAACCUGUGGGCAGCCCUAGGUUCCAAUUCAGCGACUCCUAUGUCACAACUUUACAAGUUUAUUGGAAAUCCUUUAGUCAGUGGAAGGAUACUUACAAAGAUAAAUGAUUUCGUUGAACCAAUUCAGUCGAGUUCCGCUUCUGAAUAAAGUAGCCUUAGAAGCAAGGAGGUGGAGAGGGGAGAUUCCUCUCUCAUCGACAUAAUUGACGAGGUCAGGAUACUCGUGAAUAAUUGUAAAUGCCAAAUCUAUCAUGCACAACAAUGAAAAUGUUAUAUAAAUAAAAGCAUGAGCCUUUCGUUAUAUAUAUAUAUAUAUAUCAAUUGGUCAAUUCUGUUGAAAUGAUAACAUUAUAACAAAUGUAUAAAACACAAAUGAAAAUAGAAAAUAUGUUACCCUAAGUUAUAAGGCAUGAAGCAAAUAGAUUAUCUAUUCCUAUCGAUGUUCAGAUGAAUGAAUAGAAAACAAUAAAUAGGGCCUGAAAGCAUUGCUCACCGAAGUAUUCUCCGGUGAUGGCACAGUGAAGACUAUUUUCUCCAUCACUCCUCCGAAGGUACUCAUACACUUUGUUGUUAGCAGUACUGCUACAUAUGUUAGAGAGGCAAAGGAAAGCGUCUUUCAUACCAUGGAGAGCUGCUAAGAAGAGAGGGGUCUCAUUUUCAUUGUUGCGAACACCCACCAGUUCUGGAUACUCAGCAGCUAUGCACUUGCACAUGCGAACGUUGCCUACUGACGCCGCCAAAUGGAGAGGGGUGUUCCCUCGAUCAUUUUUUAUAUUAAUCAGAUACACGUUGCGAUGGGCCAUCAGUUGGACUAGUUUUACCACUACAUCUUCUCUGCCAUCUGAUACUGCUAUAUGCAAUGCCGUGUCCCCUGAUGUAGCGGUCUUCUCAUCAUGAGCCCACGGAUCUUCCUUGCAUAUAUCUACAACUUUUUCCCAUUUCCCUUGCAUGGCAUAUGAAAUCAAGCUUGGUCCAGUGGCCCCUUGUUCUGUGUCCACGACAAAUGCCAUUCUUCCUCUUCUUAGAACAACUACUACUGUUCUAUUGCUGAAGGUACCAAGGAUGAUUAUUGUAUAUGUAGAGCAAACAAGCUGUCCCAACUGUGGCAAGCCACCAUAAACUGAAAGUGAUACCUUGCUCUGGAUUCGGGAUGAGCACAAUUUUAUGGACCCCAAAAAGAGAACAUCCAUGUUUCAUUAUCCUCUUAACUAUCAUAUUUUAAAAUUUUAUUUAGAAAAUUUGAAAAAAUAAAAAUGGGAUAUUUAAAACGCAUCAAAUUACUUUUUAAUUGUGAAUGACUCAUUCAAUUAUAAUACUGAUGAAUAAAGUAAAGCUAAACUCUUGCACAGAAGGACAUUCUUUUCAAUGAAUUCAAGGAAAGAAUAAUUGAGGAAUAAAGUAAAAUCUAGUGAGAGGAUCUCUAUCUGGCAACAAAAACUCAAGGAAAGUAUCAUCUUGAGGAAAUUAAAAUAAAGAAAAGAAUAAAUAAUGAGUAAAAUAAGAGAAAAAUUAUUUUGAGAUUAAUUAAAAUUUUGAAAAAUGAAAGAGAUGUGUUUUUGCAUAUAAACAUUUCAACAAUUGAAAACCAAUAAGCCACGAUGGCUGAAAUAAGGCUACAUAAAAUCAUGCAAAAAGAUGAUGGUUUUCAAUAAACCAACUCAAGGGAGCACUGUAUCUAUCUAGGAAUGAAGUUAAAUCUGUGCUAAUAGAGAUUUUUCUCAACUAGCGCAAGAAAAGCAUAAGGAAAAACUCAAAACACAUAUAUUCAUACCUAAAAAAAUAAAUAAAUAAAUCCCUGAUCUUCCUUUUCCCUGGGGCAUCUUGCUUUUUGUAAGCAAGGUUUAUAAUGGCUCAAUUCAAUUGUAACCACAAAUUCAAUAGUCCAUCAUAUCAUUUAAUCACAUAACAUUUAAUAUAGAAGAAGACACUUGUACAUAAACUUAAUAUCAAUAAAAUCUCUUCUCACCAUCACUAAGAAGAAACCACCCGCUAAAACAUGGAAUCCACAAGCCCAAAACAACGAAGUCAAAUCUAUGUAAGGCAAAACAUUAGAGAGGAGCCACCUUGUAGCUUCGCUGUGGCACCUUCUUAAAAGUGGCCCACAUAAGAUCGAAGUACAGAGGAAACUGUGCCACGGCAAAGAAGAUUACUGGAAGGCAGGUUACUGCAUAUACAAGAAUGGCAGUGUAUUGCAGUUUAUCCAUAAGGACAAAGUAAUGUCCGGCACAGAAAGAGAUUAGCAUCGAAGCUAUGGACACAAAGAGCGAUGUCAAGCCUACUAGAAGUUUCCUUGGCAAGUAGAUGCGAAAAUCUCUCUCUUGGUAUCGAGAGGUUAGAAUGGCAAGAAACAUGAUCACAGCAUUGACUGAGAAACAAAGCGCAACAAGAGAAGAUAUGGCAAAAAUGUCAAAUGCCGGCUCGUCUUCUAGCGUCGGUGUUCCAACUUUUUCUUUCACCCCACCUGGCACAGUGGAAGACGUUGCAAAGGCCACGGUUGCAAUGAGGGCUGCCACCACGGAGCAUGACUCAGAGGUUUUGAACAGCCAUUCACCACCAGCUUGGACAAGAUCCAUGUGUUUCUCGGUGAAGAUAUCCUUUGCAGUCUCACCCUUCUGGUUGCAGCGUACAAAGAAAUGUUGUGGCACGGACCUCUUAACAAACUGCAUAGUUCAAAGUUCAAAUUAACAAGGAAAAGGAAGAGUUCUUCAUAAGUUUCUCCAUCCGUUUUCUUUUUUUCUAUAUAGCAAUAUAUCAUAUAAUUUUACAAAAUUAAAAACAUUUACGCAUUUUGUCUGAUCAUAACUUUAAAUAUUCUAAUUAAUUUUCUUAAGAAUCUGGUAUUACUCGAUUAUCUAGAAUGAUGCAGCCAACAGAAUGUAAACUUCUGAACCUCACAUUGUUCAGGCAAGCAUUUCAACCACAAUUAGUAGUGUCCCUGAGAGUAGCAGGUUUAGGGUUUAAUCCUUCUACCCCAAUAUAUCGUACCCUUCAGUUCUUAUGGUCUACACCAUUUAAAAUGGAAAGUUAAUGCUGAAAUCAUAAUGGAUAAUUGCAUACCUCGUACCACUUUAUUUCCCACUGCAUCUGCAAAGCGGCACCAGGUAUAAGCCAAGGCUUAUUCUCUCCAAGCAUUGCAGCCAGAUGUAGUGCACUAUUGCCAUCUAUGUCCACGUGCCGAAACACGGCGUCUUUGAGGACUUUUCUUUUGACUAACAGCUCAUAAACAUGGGGUUGCCUGUACUCCACUGCCAACAACACAAUGUUCUUUUUUUGGUAAUCCUUGUCAUGGAUGGCCACUGGAAAAAGUUCUAGAAUUCUCUCCACAAUUUCCACCACACCAUUCUUUGCUGCAACUAAUAAGGGUGUCUCUUUUCUCUCCAUUUCCGAUGGUUUCUUCUUAUCUGCCAACAUCAGAUGAUUAAAUUUUAUUUAUUAAGAAAUUCUGACCACAUAAUGGAUGACAAGUAUUCGAUCAAAGAUAAAACUCUUGCCAAGAAUAAAUAUAAUUGCUAGAGAUAACUGUUACCUUGUUCAUUUUUCUUAUUUUUACCAUUGUCAUUCUGUUUUCGCUGAGCUUCUGGUGAGCUUUGAUCUGCGGGAGCUCCUUUAUCUUCACCCUGUUGAUUAGUUGCUGAAGAAGGUUGAGCUGCUGUGCCUCCCGGUAGAUGCUGACUUUCUAAGGUGUUGUCAAAAGAAACACCAUGAUCAUCCGAGAUGCUAUAAGGUGUUGUGUCAGCAUCCUUCUUCUGUGAUGGUUGUUGAGGAUUUCUUCCAUUAUCUUCGUACUCAUAAAAAGAAGCAUGACAAAGAAGUUCAUCCAAUAUCUGUGCAGCCCAUACGUGCUUCUCUUUUUUCUGCCGUACCUUCUUUACGGCCUUAAAUCCUUAGUACCAUCAGAUAUAACAACCUUUGAGAAAAUUGAAGUCCUGCAUACUAGACAAUUGAAGUCUAAAGGAUUGGUGUAAAGGAUGGUAUGGAAAGGCUUACCAAAUCCGAGAAUUACUAAUAUUGCCUUGAAUACAAACUUGAUUAUAUUAAAGCAAGUGUGGUAAUUGGAGGGAAUCAGUUGAUGCCCUUGUGACUGCAGUUCUCCUUUCGCCUUCAUGUUUGAUUGGUUUCCUGCACAAAAUAAUUGGAAAAUUCUAUUUGAAUUGUCACAACACAAAAAUUAAAAAGGAAACAUAGAGAUCAUUACAAUCAACCUAUAAUGUGCAGAAACUUAGGCUAUUUUACUAGCGGAAACCAACCCGAAUGGUUCUUUCAGAGAUCUUGUAAUUGUUUUUUAUAUAAAAAAAUGACGCAUUCAAAAGAUAUAGCCCAAAACAAAUUUUACAAACGUGUUGCUGAACAUGUUCCUGCAUUAUUUUCACUUUUCAUGUUCCUGGAAAUGGAAGACAGUAGUAUGCACUUCCUCUAGGAGAUUGGUCCUUUACAUAGCAAAAUUGGAUACAACCAUGUGAGAGCUAGCAGAAAAAUCUAUCCCUUUUUUUGUUGCAUGUUGGCUCAUUUUAAUGUCUCAAAAUAUUCUUUUUCUGAUCUUACAAAGGUUCUGAAGUGACAUUUAAUUUCAAUGUAGGCUGCCCCCCAUGCACAAGACAAUGCUCCAUAAGCUGCUCUGAGUAUACUGUGAUAAUGCAUAUAGGAAUAGCUCAUGCUUUUUUUCUGAAGCCCAUUAAACAUAGAUGCCAGAUAAAGAAGAUGAUUGCUAACCACUGGGAUCCUCCAGAUCAGCUUGCCCACCAGUUCUUGGAUCUUUUCCGGUAUUAGCUGAAAAUGGGAAGUAGCUUAAUGACUACUUUUAGCAUAUAGGGAAGUCGUAACAGAACAUUCAAAAAGCAAGGCAUCAGCUUAAUGCUGCCAAUUCACAGAUCCAUGGAUAUCACCAUGCAAAUAAGCCUAUUGCUAAAGAGUAUUACUACAUGUACAGAGGCUUCGCAUAAGAGAUUCUCCGCGCUACACUCAAUGAAAAGUGUCAACCUCUAAAACAAACUUUAUUCCUCCUACUACUAAAUAUGUAUCUUUCUAGGCCAACAUGCAUAAUUUACCUCAACUUAGGCUUGCACUGACUUCUUGCAUUUCACGUUUCUAUGAUAGCUAAGCUGCUAACAUCUCAGCAAAAUGAUUUAUAACUGGGGAUUUUUUUUUUCCUUUAUAAUGUUUUUAAAAUUUUAAAACAUAGUUAAUGCACAACAAAAGAGAUGAUACUUACCAUUGGUAGUCUUCUGAUCUGAUUGCUCAAGAUUUGUGUUUGGACGGUUUCCAGGAUCAACUGAAAAUGGGGAGAGGCUCAGUGAGGGCCUUUUUAUUAGAAUACAGGAAAUGGAAGUGCCAAAGACAAAUAUAUAAGAACAGUGCCAAAUCCAGACCCGAAUGAAUUUAAGCCUGAAAGCCUAGCAAGAAAUAACUUCAGUGAAUUGGCCUGAUGGCCCUAACUUCGGAUGGAAGUAGACUGAUUCUGAUUUGUAUUCGCAGUCUUCAUAGAAUAUGUGAAUUCAGGGUCGCAUGCUUCGAUGGUGCUCAUCUAGUCUAAGAUUAAUAGAUGGGAGGUCCCAGAAAAAUCACCUCCCAAAGCAAAAUUACUUAUAUGGUAAAACACUAAAACUACUUAGUUGGGACAACAUAAAAUAUGAUUAAACAAAUAAAAAGAAAAAGUGUAGUUCUAUGAUAUCGUCACCCACAUAGUAUUGUCAAGGCCGACCAGGGCAAUCGGAGGAAAUUGAUGCAUGUUUGGUAGUUCUCUGGACAUAGAGGAUCCUUUUCUUCAUCAAAAGCUUUUACGAUAGCUUCCUCCUGCUUGAAUGUUUCCUCCUUAAGCUUUUCAACAAAUAUACCUUGAAAAUAACAGUCAAUAGAGCAAAGUGAAAACUGUAGUUAUGAGACAAUGUUCAUCAUUGCCAAAAUACAUUUAAGGCCUUGUUUGUACAGGCUUUCAAAGAGAGAAAAGCUCUUUUACUCAAAUGGAGUGUCAAAAAGAUAAAAUCCUAUUCCCAUGAAAUCCACUUGAUUUGCCACCAAUCCCGUGCAGAGGAUUGUGCUUAUUCACGUCUAGGCAGAACUGGAAUACCAAAGUAAGGCCUAUUGAGGAAAGGGAAAUGUGCUGCCAGACAUUAUUUGAGGAAGGAAGUAGUUUUGAAGGAAAAGUGAUUCUUACAGUGAUAUAUGAUGUUGGUGAACCAUCGAAAAUGACUCCCGCUUCUGAAAGCAGAAUGUUUGGUGGCCAGGAGAUGGAGAGGCGACAAUCCUUGCUCAUUUACGGAGUUAACAAGAUUCUUGUACCGGCUAAUUAUUUGAAAAGCCAAAUCUAUCAAACACAAUGAUAAAUCUUUAAUCAGAUUAUUUUCAAAGGAUAAGAUAUACUUUAAUCAGAUUGAGUUGCUUAUCGAUAUAGAGUUAUUUUCAAAGGAUAAGAUAUACUUUAAUCAGAUCAUGAACAAGAUUCUAGCAAAGCACUCACCAAAGUAUUCUCCCGCGAUGGCACAAUGAAGAAUGGUAUCACCAUCAUUCCUCCUACAGUAAGUGUUGCCCUUAUCCAAUCCGCAUAUUUCAUCGAGGCAAAUAAAAGCUUCUUUCUUCCCAUGUAGUGCAGCCAAGAAGAGAGGAGUCUCACUGUCAUGGUUGCGGGCGCCAAUCAGGUCCGGGAGUGCAUCAGCAAUGCACUUACACAUCUCCAUGCUCCCCAUAGAUGCUGCUAAAUGGAGAAUGGUAUUCCCUCGCUCAUUUUGUAUCUUGAGAACCUCCUUGACCUUAGCUUUACCCCGGAUUAAUGAGUAGUAGCUGUUCCACAAUACGCGCUUGGUCAUCAGAAACUGCUACAUGUAAUGCUGUGUCCCCUGAUUUUGUGAUUUUGGCCCAUGUGAACUUCUUCAUUUCCCUUAUAUAUGUUCACAACUUCAUCCCAUUUACCCUGCAUGGCACUUCUGAACAGUUUCUUUUUAAUCACCUCCAUAUUUUGUCUUGUCUCCCGAGUAGAAGCCAUUUUUCCUGUCUUCUUCUUAAUGUAAACUACUUCUGGGAACUUAAUUUGGAUGGAAAAGAAUGGGGUAAGGAUGAUGAUAUUUAUGCUGUUUAGUAAAGUAUGUUUGGAUUAUAAAAUUCAAAAGAAGUUAGCAUGGUAGGACUGAGAUAAUAGGAUUUCUACUUUAUCUUGCAUCGAAAUGGCUAAAGAACAUAUGAUGAAAUAUUCCUAACUGCUAAACCAAGAAACCUUUCUGCUUUAGCCACAAUCCUCUUGACGUGUCACCCACAUUUAAAUACAAAAGUCUGCAGUUCACAACCUUUUUUUUUUUUUUUACUAUUAAUUGCAUAUUGUCUUUACUCUCUCUCUCUCUCUCUCCCACAUAUAAAUACAAAAGUCUGCCGUUCACAACCUUUUUUUUUUUUUUUUACUAUUAAUUGCAUAUUGUUUUUACUCUCUCUCUCUCUCUCUCUCUCCCACAUAUAAAUACAAAAGUCUGCAGUUCACAACCUUUUUUUUUUUUUUUACUAUUAAUUGCAUAUUGUUUUUACUCUCUCUCACCCACAUUUAAAUACAAAAGUCUGCAGUUCACAACCUUUUUUUUUUUACUAUUAAUUGCAUAUUGUUUUUAUUCCCUCUCUCUCCCACAUUUAAAUACAGAAGUCUGCAGUUCACAACCUUUUUUUAUACUAUUAAUUGCAUAUUUUUUUUACUCUCUCUCUCUCUCUCUCUAUAUAUAUAUAUAUAUAUUAACUCGUAUUACUUUUUAGAUUUAGAGCUAGCUAAGAUCUUGACGUACAUUAUUUUUUAUAUUCAUGCACUAGAUUGAUUUUCCCCUAUUAAUUAAACUCAUAAUAUUUCAAAUUUAUUUUCUUCAACAUCAUGACUGUGUGGCCUUUUUCUUUUCCAAAAUGCAUCCUUAUCUCAUUUAAAGUAAGAUAAGAGAAAUAAAAAGAAAGUGAAUGCAACAGAAGCUUUGCAAUGCACAUAGUCAAAAGCAAAUGUCUAGUGCAAUUAAUAAAAUGGUGGAAUAUGUGAAUGGGAAGUAGGGCUUUAGAUUGGCUACCUUUCUUUUCUUUUGAUUUUAUCACCUUCUCUCCCUUUUUCUGGUCAAAGAAAGGGCAGUGUCAUAUUCUUAGACUUGAUUUACAUGAUCUGUUGAAUAUAUAAAUAUUUAUACCUACCUGCACACCAUAGUGAUAGAUGAAGAUAUGACCAUAUCACCAUGCAACUUGGGGGAAUUGGUAAAGUUGAUUAUUAACGCAAGCCCAAUCUUAUUGAAGAAACAAUCAAAUUCAAUUUAAAUUCAACCCAAACUCUAAUAUAAGGUACUUGACCCUAGUUUAACCCAACCUCAUUUUUCUAAAUUCGGUUUAAAUUCGAGUUAGUCAAGUUAAACUCAGAUUGAUCGAGUUAAAUUCAAAUUGGUUGUAUUGAUUAGGUUAUAAGAUUCAAAAUACAUUCAUAGUGGUGUAAAAAAAAAAUCUAUAUAUUUAUAUCAAAAUUUAAAAAUAUAAAUAAUAUAAAACUUUAAUAUAAUAAUAAAAUAGUAAAAAUAAACUUAUAUAUUUUUUAUUAAAAAUGUAAAAGCACAUAAUAUAAGUAUAAUUUGGUAUUUUUUUCUUUAAAAUCUAAAAGAAAAAUGAAUAUUAUCAUAUAAGAUAAUAAAAUUAUAAAUAUUAUAAAAAUAUUAAAUCAAAUUCGAGUUAAACUCAAUUUGUUUGAAUAUUGACCCAAACUCAAUCCAAAUUAAGUUUCAAUUGUAAAAACUUAACUCAAUUUCAAUUCGAAUAAUGAAAAUGUUUAUCCAAAUCCAUCCGAGUAUCGGGUCCGACUCAAGUUGGGUAUCAGGUUGGGUUAGGUUAACACUUCGAAAUUGCACCCCUAGCUAUGGAGCAAAGAAAACAAACCGCAACAAAUAUUGAGAUAUAGGAC
rnacentral:lncRNA from 1 species